UAAAUCUUGGUGAAACUAGAAGUAAUACAACCUGUGCUGUGGAGAUAAAAGAAAGGGCAGCAGCACUGGUGGCUGCAGAAAUUGAGGCAUGUAGAGACAAUAGAACCCCCGAGAUACCUCUGCAUAAGAAAGUCCAGAAAGAGUGGGCUUGUGCUGUAUGCCAGUUCACAACCCAAAGUGAAGUGACCUUCAAUUCCCACCUUCAAGGGAAGAGACAUCAGGCCACUUCUGAGCAGUUGAGAGCCAAAAACCAGGCAACCAAAACCAAUUGUUCCCCAUCUGCUUCAAAGGCCAAGAAAUCUGAUCAGUCCACCAAAGAGGAGCAACCAAAGUGUCCUUCCAACAAUCUGAAUUCCAAAAACAAUGGAAUCUCAGCUGCUUCAACAGUGAAGAAACCUGACGAGACCAAAGAUGAUGAGCAACAAAAGUGUGCAUCCAGCAAUGGACCAAACCAGAAGAAUAACAAAAAGCAAGAGGAGAAGGUGCUAGUUCUUGAGACCAAUGAGCAAGGCCAUCAGAAUAAUUUUGAUCCACGAUCCCACAUUUAUUUUGGGUCUCACAAGUUUCAAAUUUGCAGAAAAAUGAAAGAUGUUUGAGAGAAAAUUAAAUCAUAUUGCACUACUGUUAGGAAAAAUAUGGCUGAAUCCAAUUGCUUUUCUUCUCCAAGUCUAUUAAAAAUAUAAUUUUUUCUCCAUUCCUGACAAAAUUUAAAUUUUUUCCUUAAAAAAAAAAAAAUUAAGUUUGAUCACCUAACACAUCUUUCUAAACUCAAUCUCAACUUGAAAAAUCAAACCUUAAUGGAUGGACUAUAGAAAUAGUGAGAAAACACUUCUGGGGUUUUUUUUUUCUUCCAACAUCAAAUUUUUCUAUAUAUGGGAUUUCACAUGCAAAAGCAGGAGUAGAUUUGCUUGUGUUUGAUGUAUGUAUUAGAAAAAUUUGUCCCUUCUGGGAUGUUUAAUACUUUUCUAUUCUUUUAUAUGCAUGUUUAGCUAGAAGAUAUAGAAUCGAUACCAUUCCUUAAAAGUGAUAGCCACAACUGUGAUAAUUAAACACCAAAGAAUGUGAAGAUCUAUAUAUUCUUUUUUUUUUCCUCUCUCUUUCAAUAAUGAAGCUAAGAUGUGUUGUAAGCAUCAAAUGCAUUGUCUCUGCUUGAAUAUAUACAAAGCCAAGGACCACAAGAUGGAUAGAUAUGGGGACGCACAAAACUUCUCAAACAUGAUUAUAUUAAUCAAGAAUUCAACUAAGCUUAAAUUCAAGAUGUUGAUUUCUAGCAUCUCUGGUGCUAUAGGAUGACUAUUGAUCCUGUACUGUUAUGUGCCCUACUGAUAUAUUCUUCGGGUUGUUAUGUAUAAAUAAAAUUUUUGGGAAAGUUUGCUUGGUGGUUACACUAUCACUAUUUAGGCCAGUAAAAAUUGGAAGCCUUUGUAAAAAACUGAUGGUCCAAGAGCUAUUCUACUUCAUCAUCCAUGUAAUAUGACGAUACAAAUUUGACUAAAUGCAGCUAUAGAAGGCUUAGGACCAUAAACCAAGCCUAGUCGAUGUCACUCACCUAAAUUUAUGCAUAAAGCUUUUGGAUGGCUCAGAGUUAUAUUUAAUUACUGUUAUGUUCGCAACUAUAUUUUCAUUGGAUUUAUAGUCCAGCUUGAGAACUAGUCCUCCAUUGCACAUAAUGUCCACACAAGGCCACAGUGCCCGCUCAAAGGCCAUAGCGCUACUCAAGGAUAUAGUGCUUACUCAAGGCCAUAGAGCCCACCUAAGGCUAACGACCCAAAAGGAGAAAAAGGUUGGUUCCACGUACUCUAAUAUUUACUAGAAAAGGUUCUUCCUAUUAAAGAACAAAAAAUUGCAUUCCCUUGUGACCAAUCCAAACAGUAGACCACUGACUUGUAUAAGGCAUUAUUCACCAUGCAAGCACUUUUUCAGCAACCUACCAUCUGGCAUGAACCAUUUUGGAUUGAUUCACAAAGCAAUGGUGUUAUAUUAAGCAUAUUCAAUAUAGAACCAAAUUGUGCCUCCUUAGAUUAACUAAAAUAUUUCCAUUGCAAGAUGUGCAGAUAGGCAUAUGAUCAUGAAGUAAUUUCCUGAUGAUAAUACCCCACAAAAUAUUUCUUUUUCUCACUGAUCUCUCCUAGAUUUUCAGUUCACCCAUCCAUGGCGCCUGACUAAAAAUGGGGGCAUUUUGGAUACCCCGAGCAGUAAGUUAGCCUGGUAGGCAUCCCGUUGCAAGCAAAGUCAACCCGAGCGGUCCAUUUGACCAAAGCUUAUCCAGGCAGUAAGCGUCCAUAUACAGCUAACUGUUAUGCACCAUCAACAGGUUGAGGUUACAAGAUUAAAGAGUCAUAAUGGCCAAAUGGAAGUUACACGACUCGGCCUAUAUAAUAACAGUAUGACAAAAAAUGCAGGUAUGAAGAACUAUCACUGAAAAAAUUUAUUCCUAAAAAUCCUUUAAGCUCCUUUAAGCUAACUUGGGCAUUGGAGAGGUCUCUCCGAAGCACACUCGAGCUUACCUUUUUGUAAGACAUCGAGAACAAGAGGCAUUGAAGUGAUUGUCCGGAGGGUUGAACUUGGUCGGGAACCAACAAUACACACUAUUCAAAAAUAGGGAUCAUAUUAAAUUAUUAAUGCAACCAUAGGAAGCAAUUGAGGACAAGGGUGUUAUUUGAUUAAAAGGGUAAUUGAAAACCUAAAUUUUGAAAUUUAACCCUCCAUUCUAUUUGGCCUUAUGUGAACAAAAAUGCCUUCAUUAUUUUCUUGUAAAAAUAACUCACCCAUUUAAACCUUACAUGAAAAUACUUAAAAUGGUAAAUGAUAUGUUAAAAAUUGAUUAUUUUUCAAAUAAAACAUAAGAAGGGUCAAAUUCAUGAAAGGAUUAUUUCAUCCCUUUUAAUCAAUUAAUUCGAUUUAUUUCUUUUUAUUUUUUUUCUCUCCAUGUUAAUUUUCACAUCACCCAACAACACCACUCUUAAUUCACACAAGUUUGAAGUUUUUGAAUGAGAUAUAUUCGUAAUUAUAUUGUAAUUGUGUUAUAAUAACCAUUUCGUACUUGGAUUUGUUCUUUCAGUCCAUUUAACCUUUUUGUUUAUUCAUGUCAAAACAAUGUACUUAUAAUCGAAUCCAUUUAUGACAUGUUGAUCUUAUAUAAAUUUAUUAAUUUUAUAUAUUUAAAAAUUAUAAAAAUUAAAUAUACUUUUUCAAUUAUGAAUAUCAUAUUACUAAAAUAUUAAAUAACAAAUUAACUUGAAAUGCUAUAUAUUUCAUUAAUUAUUUUAUAAUUAAAACAUUAAAUGAAAUAAUAAACAAGUAUAAAAUAGAAAAUUCUAUCUUAGUUAGAAAUUAUAAACUGUUAUUGAGACAUAUAAGUAUUAAAAUUCUACCCAUUUCACUACCAAACAACUUAUGUUUUUAGUCAUAAUUUAACCUUAUGAUGAACACUUAAAUAAAAUUUGUCAUCUUUUUCUAUUGAUUUAUAUUUAUUUAUUUAAAAAUUUUGUCUGGCAUAAACUAUCAUCUCACAAAAUCAUCAUUGAUGAGUAGGCUAUGCCCCAGUGUAAGCAUCUCCAAAUCAAACAUCAAUGAGAGGAGUACAACCAAUCAUACAUCAUCUUAUCAAAAUGAAUCUCCGCUUUUCAAAGUCAUCGUGGUAACGUGAAGAGAGUAUUUGACCUCCUCUAAAGAAAAAACAUGUCUUGAUGUGAAAAAGAUCAAGCAAAGUGGUAUGCCUCAACAAAAAUGUGCUCAAACAUGAUCAUGCCCCGAUGUAAGUUAGUAUCUCUAAGAUCAAUCGCCAAUGAAAAGGUUAUUCCCCAGUAUAGGGCAAACUCUGAAAUGACUAAACUCCGUUGCAAGCUCUCAUAAGUGUCUGUGUCAUGAUCCAAUCAUCGCAAAAAUUUGUCAACAAUGAUGAGAAGGCUAUGCUCCUAUAAUCACAUCAAAGAAAUCACUCGGUCAUAUUACUCCAAUGUGAAAGAAAUCUAAUCACCUCCAAGGAACAGCUAUGCCUCAAAACCAUCAUCGACUGAGAGGGGGAUGCCCCUGAUCCAAUCACCACCCUAACUAACGUACCCAUCAUGAGGAACACUUGUUUGAGCUCCAUAAUGGGGAUCAACCAUUAGAUGAACAAGAUUCGAAUAUUACUUGCUCCCCAUUUCAACCAAUGAAUGAUGUACCUGGAAACCUUGUAGACAACCAUAGUUUUCAGCCUUCUUCCUCGCGAUCAUCUAGAACAGAGUCGGUAAGCUUCACUCAUUUCUUAUAAUGGACCUUGACCCACAACGUCGAACUACCUGUAUGCAAAAUUAUCCGUCCAGAAAACCCAUCCAUACAAUUCAGGUUCAAAACCCACAAGAACCACCCUAUGAAUAAACUAAUUAUAGCUGGCUUCGUUGCAAUAGGCAUUAACUUUCUUAUGCUGACAGUCCUAGCAUCAUUUACCAAAGGAUCAACAACUUUUCCAUGUCAGAGAACAUUAUCAAUCACAAUGACACCCCUGGUCCUCACUAGUUGCGAUAGCAAUUUAAAGUAUUCUUGAUUCAAAGGGUAAACAAAACAAAAAAGAAAACCCUAAGUGUGACUCCUUAUUUGAAAAAUGUGGUUUAUGAAAAACCGGAUCGAGCUUAGGGGUCAGGUUACUUAUCGGGAAGGUACAAAAAAAACCGUAGCACCCCUCUAAGUCCCUAAAAUGGGUCUCUAUUGAUAAAAUGAAGCAAUCAUGGCAAUUGGUAAGGAAAUCAUUGAGUAUCAACAUGAUCACACAUUGAGAGUUAAAGCAUGCAUGAGGAAUGGUCAAAGUGAGAAAGGAUGCGUACCUUAGCAACGAGUCCCAAUGCGCUAUCAAGAAAUUGGGUUAGUGCACAAUCAAUAAAUAUAAAAUAUAACACACAUGCAUCACUAAAUAGGGUAAUAAAUCCCCGAUGACAAACCUUGCACUUCACUCAGGUUUAUUUCUACUUCUCUGAUGUUGGGCCCCACCAAAGCUCAUUUUAUUUUGCAUGAAUCAACUCCAAUAACUCCAUUAUUCGGAAUUACGAAAUUUAAUUCUUGCUUAUUUUAAAGCAUUUUAAAAAUAGAGGAGAUAUGAGAAUUGCUCGCCAGAAAAGAAGAUGGCGGCAAAAUUUUAAUGAAAAACGAGUUUUUGGAACCUAAGAAAAAUGUUAAGGAUGGAAAAUUUUGGAGGUUUGAAAUUAAUUAAAAAUUAGAAUUGAGGAAUUUAUUUACAAAAUGGGGUUUAGGAAAAUUAUUUUCAAAAAAAAAAAAUGAUGAAAUGAGAGAUGGCACGUGACACAAGGGUGGCCAUGCUGAAGGCGUUCUCUUCUGGCCCAAGCUGGAAAUGCACUCCAAUUAUCCUUCUUUUCUGGUAUAACACCUUCAUCAAAAUAAAUAGCUUUUGCACCAUACUCUGAUAGACAAGGACCAAUAACAAUGCCUAUAUUUGCCUUAAGUAGACAAAGUAAGUCACCCAUUGAACCUCCAAUAUAAAUUGUCAAGUGCUCUGUGUCAUUACUGCAUCCCUCCUUCAAGAUGUCCUUAGAAACCUAAAGCUUUUCCACGACAUACUCCAUCUUCUUAAUGAUUUCACCCGUGGAAAUGGAUUCUUCACAAGCCAACUCAUUUGAAUAUACUCUCAAAACACCCAUAUCACCUGAUGAAAAUGCUGAUCUAACGAAAUCGCCACACCAACAGUAUGAAAGUCCAUGAACAUCUGCUUUCAGAUUAUUAUUUUUAAGAAUCUUUUGGAAGAAACCUGUGCAACCAUCUUGAAGAAUUAGACCUUGACCAACCUGUUUUAUAUCAUCUGAAUUUAAACCCUUCAAUACUCCAGACUGAGUCACUCUUGAAUCUGCCUUUUCCUCAAAAUCAGAAAGUUGCUCAAGUGCUUUACAUAAGCCUUCAUAAUUGAAUUUUUCCACUGUUUCACUGGGGACGAUGCUUCCCAUGCAUUUUUCAAGCUCUUCAGUAUGCUGGGUAGAUAGAACACCCCAUGUGUGUGUCCAGAUCACCAUGAGUGACCAUUUGAACCUUGACGAAUGAGAGAGUACAUAACAUUUAAGCACACAGGACAUAUAUUAACAUUCUCCAUUAGCUUCUCUUUGCCUUUGUCCACCUCUUGACCUCCCAUGCAGCCAACUGUGAAGACCACGUCCAGGUGCAGUCACGUGGUGACACAUCUCAUGGUCUUCCUCAUCCAAUAAAUCACAUGCUCUGUUAAAUCUGCUACCCGAAUGGAUACCUCCUAUCCAUCAACCUGAAUAUACUCCGAGCUUUCUUCAUAAAACCCAAGAAACUCCAGAAGGCAUCAUGGUUCUCCUCCAUCAUUGAAAUGAUUAGGGAUAGUAAAUCACUCAUCCCUUAGCAAUAUCCCAUUUUUAAACCAUAGGGUGCGUAGGCUUCUAGAAUAGUAGCAAAGUGAGCAACACGGAAAAUCUUGCGUGGAUCCAAGUUCCAUGAUGGUGAUCGUAGCCUCACCUUUGAAAUCACAAGACCCAGAACCCAUUCGUUCUUCCUGGUAAUAACUAUCAGAUGCAUAGGAGGCAGGGUUCUUCAGAUUGUUGAUUUGGUAAAAGCCUCUUCUGGUUGAACCCCUGAAUGAUUCACUUUUCUCAGUCCGCAAACCUAGUUCAGAACAGCCCGCAAGAUCAGAACCUUAACCUAGGCGUGGAGAUCCAGUGUUGUAUAACGCCUCAAUUGUCGGAAGCAGCCAUGGCCCAAACAAUGAUAUAAUGGUCAGCAAGUUGUCCCCAAGGACCAUGACAGUGAUGAGCAUUUCCGGGCAGCGCGUCACCACGUUCCACGUCGCGACGGUAAUGGCUAUGGACUGAGUGUCAUGGUCAGGGAGCUUGAUGAAGCAGGUGAAAAUCUGGUGUUUUAGAUUCUGAGGCAAUGACUGCUUGAUCGGUCGGAUUCUAGUACCGGCGUUACAUUGGGGAGGCAAUCUUAAAGUUCCAACGGAGGUAGUAGUGGACUAAUAUUCCUCAAUAACCAAACUUGAGUUUCUCACUUUCCGCUUCUCAAGGCAUUCACCUGAAACGCUUCAGGCGCCCAAACCCUUUCUGCUCAUCAGUAUAAUCACGCGCAUGAAAGUCUUAACUGCCUUCUAAACUUCACAACUUCAUCUUGCAUCUGGGUCAUCGUCGGCACGAACUUAUCACCUGAUUCAGUUAAUAUCCCCAUAUAACAAGUUCCAAUGAAGUCGCAACUUUGCAUCUUCUUUUCUGCGAUUACUUUGAUUCUCAAAGCCGAUUACUUGUUGCAGUCCAUAGGAGAUUCAAUAAUCAAACAUCAUGCACAAGCAAAAAGGCAACAAAAUACAUCGGCAUGUGGCCCAUACACCCUCCAAAAUCUUCACUCAUUUAGUAAGUUUUAGAUUCAAAAGAGUUAGCCUUCUGGUGAGCAACCCGAUACCCAUAACGAAUGAUGUAUCUGAAACACCUUUCCCACGUGGCCCUUGAAGGAUUCACUAGAAGGUGACCAUGCAUAGUAGGUCUUCACUCGCAGGAGAAUGAGAAGGAAAUAAACCUAAAGGGGGGUUGACAGCGUAGUCUAGAAGGUGAUGAGCUGAGCGGGUGGGGGUAUUAGGGUGGUCAAGUUCAGUGGGUAUGAAGGGUGGAAAGAUGGCAUGAUAGAGGAAUAAGCAGCUGAUAGUGGGUGCGAUGAUAUAAGGUAGGUUGACUAUGGAGAGUAUGGCAUUAAAGGAUGAAGACUUAGAGAGAGAGAGGUGGGUUUAAGGGUAUGGUGAGAUGGAGGGUUGAGGGUGAUAGGCUUGGAUAGUUGCAUGAGGAGGAUGAAAGGUGGGUAUGGAAAAUGUGCAUGGGUAGGAAAUGGGUAUAACAAUGGGUGUGAAUAUUGAGAGGUAGUGAAAUGAAGGCAGCCUUGCUCGUAUGGAUCAGUGUCGGAUUGAGUUAAGAAUGGUGAGAGAAAGGGAUUCGAUGAAUAUUGAAUGAUGGAAAAUGGUGAUUGGUUAGAUAGGGAUUUGUGGUCGAAUGGAAAUAGGAGACAUGAACAUAGAGAUGAGUGUGAUGGAUGAUAGUGGGCAUGAAGGGUAUUGGAUUUGUUCAUGGGUAUAGUGGUUAAAAGAGUGGUGAGAAGAAAAAAAAAUGGCCAUGUAAAUAGCAAUUAUACAUGUGGGCCCGUGAUUGCAAACGGGACUGCAUUGUUGCAUCUCAUGCUGAACCCUCACCUCCUUCUAGGAUCAUUUUCUGCAUCAAAGCUAGAUAAACUUAGAUGGUAUUUCCUGCCAAUUUUGGAUGCCCCCCACUUUGGAAAUAUUUCCUUUUCACCCAUCAGAAUAUGCUUAUCAGGUGUACUUGACUCAGGUUCAUUCCCAUAUUGCCUCUCUGAUUUAUGAUCUUCAAAGGUUUUGCAUGAAGGAAGCCUUUCACUGCAUUCCCCUUCAUCCACCAGACCUUCAGAGCAUCGUUUCCAACAAAAGCAACCUUGACUCUUCUAGUCCCAUCAGAAAAAAGUCUGAAUAUCCUCAGUUUAUGUCAUCCCUUGAUGCCCAACUCAGAAAUGAUCCAAAAAACAGUCAUCUCCCAUAUUUGGCUUCCCAGAAACACCUCGACUCAGAUGGCCAGUCCAAAUGUGAUACCCAACAUUCUAAAAAUGCUAAAAACAGAGGAGAUGAUGAAGAAAAACAGAGCAUGUAUAAAAGAAAAAAAAAAGGACUGUUAAAUCUCACUCCAUUCCAUAAAUGCUAAUGGGGUGGAUAUGGUGGAAUCAAAAGGAAGCAAGAGCGUGAUCUUCAAAAUCAAAAGCAAUGAUGGAUCCAUAUUCAAAACGUUCCAGAAUAGAGAAAGACACAAAUAAGGAGCAGGGUUUUUUUUUGUUACUGGCAGGAAGAUAUUUUUUCUAGAGAGUAACUAGAGAGAAAAAUAGGAAGAAAAGGGAAGAGCAUAGAAGACAUCUACAUAGGAGAGUAUUCAUUGUUGUGAGGAGUAGUAGAGAGCUUAGGAGGAGUUACAAAGAGAGUGAGUUUGGUUAGAGGAGGAAGUUUUGUUGGUUUUUCAGAAAGGAUUCUAGCUUGAGUGAGAGCCAUUCUAGAGAGGGUUAGAGAGGAGAAAGGUGUGUUUUGAGCAGCAAAGACACGAAGCAAAAUAGAGCAGCCAGGAAAGAGAAGCAGAAAAUCAAAAUUACUAAAAAAUUAGUGAAAGCUGUGAAAUUUCAUAUUGUUACUAAUUAUUAUAAUUUUUUUUUGUAUUUUCAAUAUUUCAACCAAUAUUUUAUAUAAUUAAAUUUAAAUUAUAAGAAUUAUAUUAUUAAUACACAUAACUAUCUUAAUGUUUUAACAAUGUAUACUUAUUUAAAUUUAUUUCAAUUUUUUUAUUUUUUUAUAAAUAUCUAAUUAGACUUAUAAUUCAUUGAAAUUAUUCAUUUUUUUUUUACUUCAUAAACCAAUUAUAUUACUUUUUGUAUUUUCAAUAUUCAUUUGGAAAAAAUAAUUUCAAUUUAAAAUAAAAUAAAUUAAUUAACUCUCAAUUUAUAAAUUGUGUCAUUGAAUUAUUUUUUAUUUAUAAUAUUUAGUUUAUUUUAAAUUUAAUUUUUUUUCUUCACCUUUUGGUUUAUCACUUUAUAUUAAAAAAUAAAAUAAAAUUGAAUUUCUUUUAAUUUAUAUUUUCACAAAUUAUUCAAUAUUUUUUUAAUUUUUAUAAAAUAAAUCCUCAGAUUAUAUAAUUGGAUGUUGUAAAGAGUUAAAAUUUUUGUGUUGCAUUGAAUUAUUUUUUCUAACAAAAGUAUAUUUGGGUACCGUAGACAUUAUAUCCAUAUCUUAACGUAUUAUAUACUUUUAUUUUGUGCAAUUAGCAAUUGAGCGGAAGACGCGGAGCCGGCUAACGGAAAUACCGCGUGUCACGCGUGUCCCUUCCCGUACCAAGUCUCAACUGCUUCAAGAUUUCCGACGCGCCCUUCUUCGCUUAACUCUUAAGUCUUUUCUUCCACUCUUCCUUAAACCCAUCACAUUUCGCCGCGUGGACCUAAGUCUCAAUGUCCUUGUGUUCAUACGAUGUAUGUUCCCCCAAUUCCUCAUCUACACUGAAACUCCAUACUCGCCUACUCAAUCACUUCUCUACUCUAGAGUCUGGAUGCUUAUCUCUGCGCGUGUCGAUGGCUCUUCACCCCAGCGAGUAUGGCAUUACAAGGGCAAUAUCGUCAUUAAAGACACAACAGAGUGUCUAUUUUAUUUAAGCUGUACGUAAUCGUGAUUGACUUCUUAGUAUCCUUUUGCUCCUAGUCUUCUCCCGCGUCUCUUAUAAAAACUAAAGAAAACCACUCCAAGAGAGCACACUACAAGAAUCUUCUUCCUUUUUUUCUUUCCUCUUUCUCUUUACAGAUAAACUGAGAAAGCCCAGCUCAUCCCUCAAUUCCCAGAUGGGUUUCAUGAAUGUUCUCAAGUUCUCAGCUGCAUGCUUUGAUCUUCUUGGCUGGUAUGUUGUCCACGCGUUUUCUUGCCAUUGGAAAUUUUUGGGAAAUGAAGUGGAAUUCUCUGUUUGAGGACAAACAUGGGAUUUUCUUUGAUUUCUCCCUGUUGGUUUUAUCUAUAUUCUUUGAAUUACCCACAUUCUUGUCAUUGAUUGUUAGUCAUUUGUUUGGAUUUCUACUUGCAGGCCUCUAUGUGCACUGGGUUAUCCUCUGUAAGUCUUGGUCUUACACCUCAAGAUAUGAUGAUUCAUUUACUCUUUUCUUGUUCUACGAAUGGUUCAGUUACAUUUAUUGUGUUGGGAAACUGAAAAGGAAAAGGAUUAUUAGUUAUUAUCGUAAUAAUCAUCAACAUCAUCUCGGUUCUUCACAGAUGUGCUUCAAUUCGGGCAAUUGAGACUAACUCAAUCUCAGACUUUCGGAAGUUGGUGGCGUAUUGGGUUCUAUUUUCCUUGAUUUCACUCUUUGAUCAUGCUUUUUCCAAGCUCCUUGAAUGGUAAUUUUGCUCAACUGCAUUCCACUAUAUGUGACUCUGUUUGUUUCAUUUCUUUGCCCUUAAGGAAUUUGGAGUUGCUUUUUUCAGUUUUCUUUCCUAUGAAAAUAAUCGAGAGGUCUCCAUGUAUUUUAUAUUCCUUCAUUUCUCUGCUUUGACAAAGGCCCACAUUCUGAUCAGCAGAAAGGUUAUAACAUUUGAAAAAGAAGUGCUUUAUUUUUGUUUUUUGUUAGUACAAUAAUUUUCGUUUGGAUAAAUGGUCUGAAGGGUGUUUGUGUUUGGCUGAGUUCAUGGAAUUUUCUAGCUAAUUUGGGAUUUAUUCUCAAUUUCAAGAUCAUUGUGGAUAUGUCAGAAAUUAAUGAAAUAUAAACGGUGGAAUGUGAUUUUCUUGUUUAAGAAAAGUUUUUCUUUGAAAAUACGGGUGCACCUGACCUACCUUAUUGUGCUACUUGGAACACAAAACAUUAGUACAGGUAAUUUAUUAACUAAAUUGUACACUUUUUGAUAGUUCAAGGAGGUGGUUUUCUUCUUUUAGGGUGUCAGCUUUGGAAAUAGGAUGGAUCUAAAAGUUUUUAUGUCUCAUCUUUAUAGGGAACUUGAAAGCAUGGAUGCACUUAUUUCCAUGGAAUUUGGCUUCCUUGAAAUCAAAUUAAGCUUUAUGCAUCAUUUGGAUGCUGAGAAACAAAUGGAAAUAGAAAAUUCAGAAUCUGACAAGUUUUUGUAGGGCAACUGGAUCUAAUCUCUUAGUCGAAGCCUAAUUGGGGCAAAUGCUGAUCAUCUUUGGACCCCAUUGAAAGCUCUAAUCUGUGCACAAUUCUAAUGUUUUUGUUUUCUUCAUUUCUUUUUCAACUUUUCACAAUAGAUGUCAAAGGUUAAAACCAAAUUUACGCAGUCCAUCCAAGUGGAUGCAUAUAAAUUUAACAGAAACUGAAAUUCGAAGAAAUUUAUUUUCCCUUUUGUAAAUGGUGUUUAAAUAUUUUAUUUUCUUAUAUAAUGCAUGUCAGGGUACCAUUCUGGCCUUACAUAAAGCUGAUGGUCAUCUGCUGGCUGGUGAUACAGCAGUUUGAUGGUUCAUAUUAUGUCUAUCAACACCUAGUUCAGCCAUGCUUGUCCAUGGAUCCACAAGCUGUCAUGAACUGGCUCUUCAAUGAAUCAAAAAAGAAGUUUCAUAGCAGAGAAAACUUUCUUGUUUCAGCAGACCGAUAUAUUAAGGAGAAUGGACCUGAAGCUUUGGAGAAACUACUUUCUAGGAAGGUAUGCCAUUAUAAGUAGGAUUAUCAACAAGUCAAACAGAGUUUUAUUUGAGAUGUUCAGGUAAAAAAUGACUAUAGUAGGUCAUCUAGAAUCAUUUGGUCUAAAUUCAUGUAUAUAUCUAUAUAUAAUUGUGUUCUCUUUUUUUCACAUAUGCAUGUGCAUUUAGAUUUACAUAAUUAUAUAUGCAUAAUCAGAUUCAACUGUGAUAGCCCGGAAUUAUUUCAGUAAUCAACUCUUCUGGGAACAUGUUGGUUAUGGUUUCUCUCUCACUGUCCUCUUCUUUAUACAUGACUUUGGCUUCAGUUGAGGAGCGCAAAGCCUAAUGUUGAAGUGAAAAAGAUCAAAGCACCUGCAGCACCGGAGAAAAAAGGGGAACAGGUAAGUUCUCUAAUGUGACUAUUUAAUUUCUAUGAGGCAGAUCCCCAGAGAAAUGUUGCUCAUGUAAAUUACUGAUGCAUUUGAUUCAAUGGCAUGGUUUUAAAAGAAAAACCACUUUAUGUAUGUUUCUGUGAAUAAGAGAACAAGUUUAUGGAUUAAAUGAUAUUUUUUAUGGUGGAUUAAUCAAUAAUUUUCAAAAUAAUAAUAUAUUCGUGCAUGUUUUUGCAAUUCAUGAAUUCCUUUUAUGAUUGAUUCUUCUUGCCUUUUUUCUCACCUCAGUGGAAGUGUGAAGAGCCUAAUGUUGCUCAAAAGGAGAUCCAAGUUGUCAAAGUAACAGAGAUAAAAAAUGGGGGGGAUGGAGCAAAGAGGGUAAGUUUUGCUUUUUAUUUAUAAAGUAGGCUGUCUUCACACAAGGAUUAUUAUCUUUAAGACAUGAAUGUUGAAUGCUUUUGGAAUUGUCCAUGAAUCAUGUGUAGUGUGAAUGGCCUAAUGCUGCUAAGAAGGAGGUCAAAGUGACAGAAGUAACACACAGAACAUUCGGUGGUACAGCACAGUGGGUAAGGUUUCAUGUCAUAUUUAAAUGGCUCCUCAUAUUUCACUAGGAUUAAUUUUGCCCCUACAAACAUAUUUGGCUACAAGUUAAGACAGAGUUCCAGAUGCUGAUAAAGUUGAGACAUAAGUAAUGAAUGAGUUUAGAAACAUGCACAACUCUUGUGUGAAACACAAUGAGAGUGGAAAAUAGCUAAGUUGAAAAAUGGCCAAAUACUAUUUUGUAGUUCCCCCUACCACUUAAGUAAUUUUUGUCAUCCUUUGUGAAUGGAAAAUCCAGUCCCUUCAGUAAUUCCGUUAUAUUCAUGACUUGGUGAAGCAUAUAACCAUUAGUGUCUUGCCUUAAGUCGACCUUUAAUGAUGAUCCAUUGAGAUGGGUCUGACUUUUGUCAACCCUCUUAUUCCCUUGAUCAUAGAGGUUAAACUUAGGGGGCUUAACCCACUUUUGAACCUUAUUGGAUAUAUGGCACAUGGUAUCCUCUUCAUCUUGAAAGAGUGAAGUGGUCAUACUCUUUCCUCUGAGUCCAUUGUGGCCAUGCACUUCUGGCCCAUUGGGCUGAGUGAAAGGAUUCCCUUCUGCUUCAAAUCAUAGAGAGAUAUGCCAUGGUCAGCCUCUUUAAUUCAAGGGAUCGAAGUACUCAAAUCCAUUUCUCUGCAUCCAUCUUAAUUCUGCAUUCAUGUCUCAUGGUUAACCAAGAAGAUCCAGCUUCCAUCCAUGAGAUCAGCAUCUGCAGGUUUAUGACACCACCCUUCCUUGGCAUAGGAAAGGGAUCAUUAAGCCAUGUGUUGGAUGACAGAAGUCAUCAUUCAGGUUAUCUUGAGAACUAAGGAAGUUGGAAUUCUAAUUAUUGCAUAUGGUUCUUGAUGUUUAGCCAAUAUACCGUAGGAUUUUAAGGAUCAUGCUCAUGUGCAUUGUGGUUGUUUAUCAGCUAUAUGGUUUACCAAAAUGAGGGACUGAUUAUGGUCAUAAGUACCUUUUUCCUAUUAAUUUCUUGCAUGUGCUCUGCUGAGAUUAUGUUUUUGACAGUCCAAAUCAGGGCAAACCAACAAACAGCUUUAUGUUAACUUUUACAAACUGCCACAUUUUCAGGUUAAACGAACAGAGAUAAAUCUUGGUGAAACUAGAAGUAAUACAACUUGUGCUGUGGAGAUAAAAGAAAGGGCAGCGGCACUGGUGGCUGCAGAAAUUGAGGCAUGUAGAGACGAUAGAACCCCCAAGAUACCUCUUCAUGAGAAAGUCCAGAAAGAGUGGGCUUGUGCUGUAUGCCAGGUCACAACCCAAAGUGAAGCGACCUUCAAUUCCCACCUUCAAGGGAAGAGACAUCAGGCCACUUCUGAGCAGCUGAGAGCCAAAAACCAGGCAACCAAAACCAAUUGUUCCCCAUCUGCUUCAAUGGCCAAGAAAUCUGAUCAGUCCACCAAAGAGGAGCAACCGAAGUGUACUUCCAACAAUCUGAAUUCCAAAAACAAUGGAAUCUCAGCUGCUUCAACAGUGAAGAAACCUGAUGACACCAAAGAUGAUGAGCGACAAAAGUCUGCAUCUAGCAAUGAACCGAACCAGAAGAAUAACAAAAAGCAAGAGGUACAGACCAAUGAGCAAGGCCAUCAGAAGAACUUAAAGCAAACUGGCGAUGGAAUGAAAGAGUUGAGAUUAUGCUGCAAUAUCUGUAAUGUAAGCUGCACAAGUGAGCUUGACAUGGCCUCUCAUCUCAAUGGAUGGAGGCACUUUAAUAUGAUAAAGGAGGCGUCUGAAUUAUGGUGCAGUAACUGCAAUGUAAGGUGCAACAGUGAGGCUGUCAUGGCCUCUCACCGAAAUGGGAGGAGGCACUUGAAGCAGCUGAAGGAACGGUCGGGAUUAUAGUGCAGUAUCUGUAGCGUGAGAUUGUGUUAGGAAGAGGUGGAAUGGGUUCCAAUCAGGAAUUAAGACUCGGUUCCAAGACAUGGAAAGUGUCUUUAGAUUAUGUUAUCUCCAUUUUUUUUAUUGUGAGAGGGGAGUAUAAGGAAUGAAAAUAAAUAUAUAUAUAUUUUUUAAUAGAGAUGAAUUUGAUAAUUUUAAUUAUUGUGUUUUGAUGUAUUUAGGAAUGUAAAAUUAAAAUAAUUAUUUAUUUUCAUUUUAGUAUUUGACAAUAAUAAAAUUAUGAAUUAAAAAAUAAUGUGAUAAUAAUACAUUUAUAUUUAAUUUAAAAUAUUUUUUAUUUUAUUUUAGAAGAAUAUGGGUUAAAUUCUUUUUUUAAAUAAUAAGCUUAAGAAAAAUAAUUUUUACUCAAUAAAUAAAAUUAAUCAUAAAAAGUCAUAACAACCUAAUAAAAAUAUAGGGGUAAAAUAAUAAUUUUAAAAUAUUAUUUAAGUUAUCCAAACAAAUUUGACUCUUCAUUCUCUCUCUUGAACCAAAUACGGUCUUUUAAGCGUUUGUCAACUUAUUUUUUUUUGCAAAAUAUCAAUAUUUUACUAAUAUUUUUAUCGAUUAUUUGCCAAUAUUUAUCGCCACGUCACCAAUUCUUUGAGUUUGACUUUCAAAAUUUUGAAAUGAUAUUUGAAGUCCAGUUCAGCCCAAAUCACUACACCCAUGAUUUUUCCCUUUUCUUUUUCUCCUUAAUUUUCACAUCACCCAACAACACUACUCUUAAUUCACACAAAUUUGAAGGUUUGGAACGAGACUUCUUCCUAAUUAUAUUGUAAUUAUGUUAUAAUAACCAUGUCGUAUUUGGAUUUAUUUAUUCAGUCCAUCUAAAUCUUUUGUUUAUUCAUGUAAAAAGAAUAUAGUUAUAAUCGAAUCCAUUUGUGACAUAUUCAUCUUUUAUAAAUUUAUUAAUUUUAUAUAUUUAAAAACUAUAAAAAUUAAAUAUAUUUUUUCAAUUAUGAAUAUCAUAUUACUAAAAUAUUAAAUAACUAAUUAACUUGAAAUGUUUUAUAUUUCAUUCAUUAUUUUAUAAUUACAACAUUAAGUGAAAUAAUAAAUAGGUUAAAAUAUAUAUUUUAUUUUAGUUAAAAAUUAUAAAUUGUUAUUGAGACGUAUAACUAUUAAAAUUCUACCCAUUUGACCAUCAAACAAACAACUUAAGUUUUUAGUCAUAAUUUAAGCUUCUGAUAAACUCUAUUUCCAUAAAUUAGAAACCGAAAUCAAUUUCUUCUUAGACUCAAAAACAUAAAGACAAUCUUUUAAUUCUAGAAGACAUCUAUCAUUUAAGAUAAGGGUAACAUAUCCCAUUGCCUAAACAACAACUCUUGCUUCAAAAGCCAAUGUCAAGUACAUAUCCCUAUCAUUCAACCUUUCCCUUAGCUAAAACCCCUAUAAAGAAUUAUAAACAUAAUCAAUGGCUCCAAAAUUUAUCCACCAAGAGUUAGUGGAAUCCAACACUAAACAUAAUUCAACUAUAAGAGAAUGAUGCAUAGUUGACUAUCUCUUCAAGAACUAAGGACAUUCCUUCUUCUUCUAAUGGCAUUUUUUACCACAAAGGAAACACUUGUCAUGACCCUUACUCUUCUUCUUCUUCCCCUUAGCCUUAAACUUCCCCUUCUGCUUGAUGAACUCUAUAGUGUUCUUCUUAUUUUGGCUAGAAAAACCUAAAGAACCCUUAACUGCCAUAUAAAUACCUCUCUGGUCCUUGAGAAUUCCCUCAGUCAUUUUGUGUUCUCUCAUUAGUUCAAUUGUAGUUUAAGAAAAAUAAUGUUUUUUAUUUUAUUUUAUGUGAUUGAACUUGGAAUGAAUUUCCAAGUUGCAUACAUACUUGGGUUGAGAUCAAGUCAUAACGUAGUUUAAGAAAAAGAUUUUUUAUUUUUUAUGUGAUUGAACUUGGAAUGAAUCUCUAAGCUACCUACGUAUCCAAGAUGGGAUCAAGUUCUAACAUAGUCACAAUGCAGUUCAAGAUUUUUUUUUUUCUUUUUUUGUGCUCUAACUUUUGUCAAGACUAAAGAUCUUAAUCUUGCAAGCAUGUCCUAACUUUUGUCUAGGUCACCUUUCCAAGUUUUCAACUUAGCAAACAUUUUUUUUUUUUGUUCUCUAACGUUUGCCAAGACAAAAGAUUUUAAUCUUGCAAGCAUGUCAUAACUUUUACCUAAGUCAGAUUUUUAGGUUUUCAAUGUGGUGGAUUUUUUUGUUUUUUAUUUUUUAUUUUUUAUUUUUUGUGUCGUAGGCAAUUUAGCUCAUACGGCCCAGAAGCGAUGUGUAGUUUGUUGGGAUUCAACCCUUAAAAGCAAAACAUGAUGUAACAAAGUUAGACUUAACUAUCCCCUUGCUAUCAUUUUGGUGUAUUAACAUUGAUUUAAACAUUCAACUCAUAUUUUACAUUGUACAUGACUUAGGUGCAUUAGGAGUUGCUCAUAAGAUACAUGGAUUCCUUGUAAGUAGAUGAGUUAUCCAUAGUCAGUUCAUGGAUUUGGGCAAUCUAGUAGAGACUGUAAUGCACCACCUCUUAAUUGAAGAGAUGACUUGUCUUGACAGUUGGGAUAGGUUUCCUAUGGUGAGUGCACUAGUAUAUAUGAUGCACAUUGGAUAGGACCUACGGUAAAUCAUGAGCAAAGCUAUCAAUUGUCAUGAUUCACCAAGUUACGAUACUGCAUGGACUCUCAAUCUUGAGAGGACAUUGAACCUGUGCCAAAAUCAACAAAAAGCUUUCACCUAUAGAUGAGACCUUAAAGUGAUCAUAUAUCCCUAUGGAUUGAGUCACUAUUGAUGAAGGUUGGUGGUAAUAGGUAUUCUCAAUAGAGGCACCAUGAUAUCUCAUGAGAUUGAGACGGUGUGUCCCCUUGGGUGAUACAAAGGACAUGUGAUCAUAAAAUCUGUGACCAUAGUAAUUCUUUUAUUGAAAUUUGACAUAUACCCCUUCGAGCUAGAGUAUGUCAGUUGAUUACAUAAUAAGUGGCAUCUAUAACUUAAGGAUUUGAGAGGUAAUCUUGAUAGGUGAUAGCACUACCUUGUUAGAUUAUGGACACCAGUUCAUGGGGAAUCUACAUGCAGUGGAUGAUAUGUCACGAACGCGAGCUUCAUAUCGUUGUUAUUAACAUAGGAUACUGGAGUGCAAUUGAUUCUCUUUAGUAGAAUGUUGAAUCAACUUCAAAAUGGAUUAUGAGGGAGCCAAUACUCCUAUGGGUCUUAAUGGUCCCCACUCUGAGCUCAUAUACCAUGAUGACACAGUUUAUGAGGGUUUGAUUGGCUUUAUGUUCAUUUUUGUGCAUAAGGGCAUUUUGGUAAUUACACAAGGUUACAUAGGGGAUAGUCAAUAAGGUCUUUAGAUUGGGCCAAUUGAUUAAUUAGAUGACCUUAUGUGGUUAAUUAAUCAAUUAUGAUAUGUUUAGGCUAGAUUAAAUGACCCAAGCCUUGAUGAAUUUAAGUCACUUAAGCCUAGCAGAUAACCUUAUAAAUACCCUCUUAUGGGUUAGGGUUUCCUAAUGACUUUCAGUUAAUCAUCUUCCAUCCCUAGAAAGAGAAAGAGAGCCAAAUCUUUCUCCCUUCCAUUGCCCACACUUUGGUAUGCCAAGAUCAUGGUUCAAGUCACUGGGAGGAAGAUCUUGGGUGUACAAGACCUUCGGACUCUUUAAGUUUCUUCUUCGUUGGAUGAAUUUUUAUUUGGGACACAUCUAGAUCAUAAGUAUGUGUUAGAAAAUUUGGCUAAUUCAACUUAAGGUAAUCACUCUAGAGGAGGGGUGAAUAGGGUGAUGAUCUUUUUUUACAAAUUUAAAUUAUGUGAAUGCAAGAGACAAUUAUACUAUGCAAAUAUAUAGUAAAACCAUAUAAAAAUAAUUGCAUAUAAAGUACAAGGGUAGAAAAUAGAGAAUAUAAACACAAGAUUUUUAUAGUGGUUUGGUGCAACUCGGCCUACAUCCAUUCUCCUCUAGCUUCAAUCCCAAGUUUGAGGUUCCACUAAUUCAAGGCUUCCAACCUAACCCUUCAAGCAAUACAAUUGGAUUAUGGUUCCAAUCAAACCUUUUGGACUUUUGGCUCUAAGCACCUUUUACAAUCUUUGAUUCGUGCCUAACUGGUGUUUGCCCUGUUGAUUGGUGUUCAAUCAACUGAUGUGCUUUGAUUUCAGUCCUCAGACGAGAGUAAUCAACAAAAUUUAUAAACCUAUUUCACCAUAUACUAGGGUAGCAUUAGCUAGCAUAGCAUAGUGGCUCUAGGAUCGUCCACAGGGAUGGGUUUUCAAAUUACAAUUGAUAUUAGUUCAAAAACUGAAUUGGUGUUUUUUCUUUUCAAGGUUAGCUUUAAAAGAAAACAUAAGUAUGUGUGAAAAGGUUGGUUUUAAGUGAAACCAAAAAUAAAGUAACUGAAAUUACUUACAAAGAAAAGUGCUUCUUGGAGUUUUAGAUCACUAGGCUCAAGUUCCUUAUACAAAAAGAGAGAUUCCGAUCACUUGGAUCUUUUCCUAGCAUUGGGGAUUUAACAUAUAGUUAUUUCCCGAACCGGUGCGGUACAGAUGCUUCCCCUUAAUGGUUUCAAACACUAAAUCUCUAUCACUGAAUCAUCUUGUAAUGGUUCAUACCUCUCACCUGGUAUUGGUCAUUUAAGGUGAUCAUUAACCUUGGAUUACCCGUCAAAAGCUCGCAAAAGAUAACUAAUGAAUGUCUCCUAGGAGUCCAAAAGCUUACCAAGUGUUGGCUAUUCUAGAUAAUCCUACCUUUAAACCAUCUCCCAAAAGCUCGCAAGAGAUAAACUAGUGGAUCUCAAUGGACGGAGUCCACUUGCCUUACCAAGUGUUGGCCCAAGUGAUUUUAAGGGAUUUUAAGUUAACUAAAAAGAUAAAAACCAUUAACGGGUCACACUUUCUCUUCAUUAAAACCUGAAACAAUGAAACUUCCACUUUUGUAUACGAAACCUUACCUAGCUUCCUUCACUCCAAGAAACAAAAAGCCUAGCCACUCAUCCUCUAGGAAAACAUCCUCAGAGUUUGAUUUGGUAGAAAUAAAAAUAAAAGAGAAAACCAAAUGUGAAGGUAAGGCCGAGCAGAGCUCUGUGUAUUACUUUAUGAAAAACUAUACAAAAUUUGUCUCUAAGAGAAACUCCCCCGAGAUCUCUUUUAAAAGAAAAUUACAAUAGAUAUCAUAUAAAGAGGCUAUUCACCCCUCUUGCUAACUUCCCAACCAUGAAAACUUGUCAAUGGUGGGUUACAAGGAGAAAAUAGGGAUUUACACACAAAUAUUUGAAGAUAAACAUCAAACUGAGUCGGUGCGCAAAUAUCUCAGAUUACAAGUGGAUUUCGCAAGUUCAAACGCAACUUGCAAAAAUUUUGCAAGUUGAAAUUAUGGUUUCGCAAGUUGCGAAAUUGUCCUGCAACUAAUCAGCUCUCUGUCCUACAACAAUUCCUUUCCUCUUCCUAUUUCGCAAGUUGUGAGAAUUUCGCAAGUUGGAUUCCACAACUUGCAAAAUUGUUGGAUGGUUGAUUUCUUUUGUGAUUUUCUUCCUUGCAUCCUCAUUUGGCUUUGGCAAAGGGUUAUGAAGCUCCAAAGCUUAGUUUCUUCAUGAAUUUGAGCUUCAACUUGCUUUGCCAUGAACUAUACAAAGAUCUCCCUCAUUCUUGGAUUGCUUUGGUGAUAAAAAAGCUAUGAAAAACACCAAAACUUAACACAAUUUGAUUAGAAACGAUUGUAAGGGUCUUUAACAUGCCAAUUGAGUUAAAAGGUAAUAGCUACUACUCAAAAGUGUUUAAAAGAGUUAAUUACAAGCUAUAAAAUGACCCUUUUUGAAGUUCAACCCCUUAAGUGAUACCCCUUAAGUGAUACCCCUUAAUUCAAGAGAUGUCUUACUCUUAAACAACCCCUUAAGUGAUACCCCAUACUUGAGAUUCCCUAAGUGAUGCCUCACACUUAGAUUUUUCAUCUCAAAGAUUUACAAAUGAAGAUAGGAAAUAAUCUCACAAAAUCUUAAUACAAAACAUUAGGCUCAAAUGAUACAAGAUAAACUAUGAUUGAAUGGUGCACUAAUAAUAUGCAAGUUUUAAAACAAUGAGUACUAAAAAACACUCUCCUAAGGUUCAAAUAUAUUCAAGAAAGAUUUAAGAAGGUUAAACUCUUGAAACAAUAAAGAUUGAAACCUUUUUAUGGAGGAGAAAUGCCAAACUAGUUGUUGGGGGUUUGUCCAGUCGAGUUCUGGUUUGACCGGUUCACUAACCGUUAGCAUUUAAUGCAUGAUAGGUGAUCAUUGGGCCUUGACCAUCCCUCGACCAGUACUCAACCGGAUAAAGUUCAACCUUAAUCAAUCGAAUAAGCAUUCUAGAAUAGAGAGAAGGUUUUUGCACCUUUCAAUCAGUUGAGUUGAACAAAUAGACGGAUUCCUUAUCCAGUUCAACCGGUUGAGCCAUUUUUGGCUCAACAAUCAUCAUUUUCAACUUAAAACCUUUUAAACAAGUUUAGAAAGCAUUUGACACAAGGAUUUAGUUGAAAACAUUAAAUCAUCCUAUUUUUAAAAGAUUUAAAACAAAAUACCUCUUGAAUGAUUUUGGUGUAUAAGUAAAUAAUGUAAUGCAUGAAAAACCCAGUGCGCCAACAACCUUACAAAGAGAUCUUAUGAGGCUUAGGUAUUGAAAAACACUUCUCUUUAAGGCAGACAACAUCGUGUGAAUACCAAAGGGGAACUCUACGUUCCUAGGGAAAGAUGCCUCGUCAGUACGUCUUGAGGUUGUUCACUAACUUCGGGGUUACCGGCUUUGAGAGGAGCCCUUUGAUGACAUUUGGGCAUGCAACUCUUCAUUUUCUUCCUUGAUUCGCCUUGUUUGGUGGAUCAAAGAUUGCAUAUGCCAGUCAUUUUUGCACUAGGUUCUCUCCAUGCUUUCACGCCAGCCAAAGUAGCUUUCGUUACCCAUAGUUGAGGAUCGGCUUCUAAAGGGUACUAACAUCCUUAGUCAUUCCCACAGAUGACACCAAUGUUGGUUCUGAGUCGGCUGAAGUCAAAUUCAUCCAACUUAACGGAAGUUUGACAACCUUCCUCCAUUUUUUGUGCCUCUUAGAGAAUCCACCUAGCAGUAAUGAGAUUGGGCGAACUCCUUUCUUGCACAAAAGAAUGUUCAGAUGAGUACUUCGGGUACGCCCUUCGAAGCUUAAGUGAGGCAAAAAUAGCUCAAACUACUUAAUGAGAGAGAGUGGAUAGGUGAAUAUGUGCCUACCUUGUUCGUGCUUUUUGAGGGGUUUAUAUAAUGUUGAUGAGAAUGCCACUAUAGUGCUUACUAGACACUUUAACUUUCUUCUAUAAUGAUGAUUGUCUUGCAGGCGGUUGGGCAAUCAUCAAAAUUUUGGGUGGCUGAUAGGUGCCAUCAACUAACGUGCCAUGAUCUUAGACCAUGCAGUAACCUGUUCCCUCAGUCUGUUGAUGGCCUAAGGUUAUGUGCAACAAUUAAUUGACAUGGACUUGAGGGCUAGAAGAGGUCCCAUCGGCCGUUCACAUGUCAAGUGUGAAUGAUCACUCAUGCUAGUGGGUCUUGAAGAUUUGACUAGACAACCUUACCUAUUUGGGAGGUCCAACCUCCCAUUGCCGUUGUUUUGGCCUUAUAGGAGAAAAGGGCUUUCUCAUGUAUGGUGCUAGAGGGACUAGUCGUGAUCCAGAUGAGUUGCAUACCCAUGCUAGAUGGUCGAAGUGUCCGGGUUGGAAAUGGAGGGAAGCCUCCCACAAAUAUGAGGGAGCCUUAUGAAAACGGAUCCUUAGGGCUUAAGAAGGGGUUUUCAAUUUUAAGGUUUGCCUUUUCACCCAAGGAUGUGAAUGGGAAGAUGAGGCGAAGUUAAAAGAUUGGUGAAGCAAAGUGAGGGCAAGGUAGGGUUUGAAUAAAGGAAAGUAUACACUAUUAAUGAAGAUGAUAAUCUCUAGAAAGAAAAACUAAGGUAAACUAGGGCUUUAAUAAUAAUUUUCAAUCUACACUAGUGAAGAGGAUAUCUUCGAAAACCAAAGUUAGGGCUUCAAUAACGAAUUUCAAUCUACAAUGGUGAAGACAAUAAUCUUCGAAAACCAAAUCUAUAAUGAUGAAGAUGAUUGAAAACUAAAUCUAUACUAGUGAAGACGAUUGGAAAGCAAAUCUACACUGGUGAAGACAAUGAAACCAAAUGUAGGUCUUCUAAACUAAACGCUUUUAAGGAUUUUCCUUUUUUUUUUCCUUUGUUUUCAAGAAAGGCAAACUCUUUAGAAAACUAAAAAAACUAAUGCAUUCUUAGAUCCAGAUCACUAUUUCCAACAUGGUAUUUGGAUUGCCAGCUUGCAUUUUUUAUUUUUUUAUUUUUUUAAUAGUCAUUGGCAUUUUAGGGAUUAUUGAAGGAUAAUAUCAUUCAGCUCAAUUUCCCAAAUUAGUUAGGUCUUACACUCAAAUGUGAAACUUAUAUGGAUGUUAGGCCAAUUAUCAAACUCAUCUGCCCUAAAACAUAAUUUCCCUUUUUUAAAAUAGUUGUUAAACAUCUAUCCCAAACACGUUUAACCCUUUGAAUUGCUUGUAUGUUAACCUUGUUUCCUUUUCUUCAUGCAACAUGGCUUAUUGAUGGUUGCAUUGAAUCAUUAUCAUUCACCAAUUCCAUGCAACUAUGGACUACAUUUCAAAUCCCUCGAACAUAAAUGGUAAUUCCAAAACAACUCAAGUAUAAUCUUUUCAACCCUUUCAAAUGAUUUAAUUAAUUGAUUUUUGAAUAUAUUCAUAUAUUUUUUUGAGCAAUUUUUAGGCAUAUAACAUAAAUCUCUUUUUUAUAUAUAUAUAAAAGGUUUUAUAUUUUAUAUUACAAUUUCCUUUUGUUUUUUCAUCUAAAAAACAAAACAUAAAACCUUAAUAAACGAGUUUUGUCACAAUCCCUUAACAAGUAAUCUAUUUUUUAAAUUACUUUAACAUUUUUAGAUAUAUUGAUUCAAUCUAAUUUACUUUUAAUAUUUUUUAUAAAAUAUUUUUACUUUAUAUGACUAUAAAUUAAUUACUAUUGAUUGCAUAUUAUAGAAUAUAUAUUCUAAAAUAUAUCUUAUUGACAAUAUAAUCAUAAGAUGUUAUAUCCAUAUCCUAACAUAUUAUAUACUUUUAUUUUGUGCAAUUAGCAACAUGGUGGGAAGUGGCAAGCAGCUUAACGGAAAUGUCAUGUGCCAAUGUGCCAUGCGUGUCCCUUCCCUUAGUGAGUCUGAACUGCUCCAACAUUUCCGACAUGUUAUUUUUUACUUAGCUCUUAAGUAUUUUCGUCUCGUUUUCGUUAACCCCAUCACAUUUCGCCACAUGGAUCUAAGCCUCAUGGUCCUUUCGUUCGUACAAUGAAUGUUCCCCCAAUUCCUUAUCUACACUAAAACUCCAUACUCGCCAUCUACUCAACCACUUCUCUACUCUAGAGUUUGGGUCCUUUAUCUCUGCACGUGUCUAUGGCUUUUCACCCCAACAAGUAUGGCAUUACAAGGGCAAUAUCGUCAUUAAAGACCCAAAAGGGAAACCAAUGGCAUUAUCUUCCUUUUGGUCUAUUCUAUUUAUAUUGUAAGUUAUUCGUGAUGACUUCUCCCAUAAAAGCUAAAAACCACUCCAAUAGAGCACACUUCACUUCUUCAUUUUUUUUUUUCCAGAUAAGCUCAGAAAGCCCAGCUCAUCCCUCAACUCCCCGAUGGGUUUGAUGAAUGUUCUUAAAUUCUCAACUGCAUGCUUUGAUCUUCUUAUCUGGUAUAUUGUCCACGCAUUUUCUUGUCAUUGGAAAAUUUUGGAAAAUGAAAUGGAAUUCUAUGUUUGAUGACAAAACUGGGAUUUGCUUUGAUUUCUCCAUGUUGGUUUUAUCCCUUUUGUUUGAAUUGUCCACAUUCUUGUCAUUGGUUGUUAGUUAUUUGUUUGGAUUUCUACUUGUAGGCCUCUGUUUGCACUGGGUUAUCCUCUAUAAAUCUUGGUCUUACACACCAAGAUAUGAUGAUUCAUUUACUCUUUUCUUGUUCUAUGAAUUCUUAGUUCUGUUACAUUUAUUGGGUUGGAAAACUGAAAAAGGAAAGGAUUAUUCGUUAUUAUCAUAAUAAUCAUCAACGUCAUCUCAAUUAUUCACAGAUGUGCAUCAAUUCAGGUAAUUGAGACUAACUCGAUCUCAGACAUUCAGAAGUUGGUGGCAUAUUGGGUUCUAUUUUCCUUGAUUUCACUUUUUGAUCGUACUUUUUCCAAGCUCCUUGAAUGGUAAUUUUGUUCAACUUCAUUCCAUCAUAUGUGGCUCUAUUUGUUUCAUUUCUUUGCCCUUCAGGAAUUUGGAGUUGCCUUUUUUAGUUUUCUUCCCUGUGAAAAUAAUCGAGAUGUUUAAUGUUCCAAGCCUCCAUGUAUUUUAUUUUCCUUCAUUUCUCUGCUUUGAUAAAUCCCCAUGAUUUGAUCAGCAAAAAGGCUAUAACAUUUGACAAAGAAAUGCUUUAUUUUGGUUUUUUAAGUACAACAAUUUUCAUUUGGAGAAAUGGUCUAAAGGGUAUCGGUGUUUGGAUGAAUCAUGGAAUUUUCUCGCUAAUUUGGGAUUUAUUCUCAAUUUCAAUAUCAUUGUGGAUAUUUCAAAAAUUAAUGAAAUAUAUAUGAUGGAAUGUGAUUUUCUUGUUUAAGAAAAGUUUUUCUUUAAAAAUUUAGGUAACCCUGACCUACCUUAUUGUGCUACUCGAAACACAAAACAAAAGUACAAGUAAUUUAGUAACUAAAUUGCACACUUUUUGAUAGUUCAAGGAAGUGGUGUUAGCUUUGGAAAUAAGAUGGAUCUACUAGUUUUUAUUUCUCAUCUUUAUAGGGAACUUUCCAUAAUAUAGCUUAUAAAUACCAUAAUCACAGUGAUGAAUAAUUGUCUUGUUUGAAAGCAUGGUUGCACUUAUUUGCAUGGAAUUUGUCUGCGUUGAAAUUAAAUUAAGCUUUAUGCAUCAUUUGGAUGCUGAGAAACAAAUGAAAAUAGAAAAUUCAAAAUUUGACAAGUUUGUGUAGGGAAAUUGGAUCUAAUCUCUUAAUCGAAGCUUAAUUAGGGCAAAUGUUGAUCCUCUUUGGACCUAUUGAAAGCUCUAAUCUGUGCACAAUUCUAAUGUUUUUGUUUCCUUAAUUUCUUUUUCAACUUUUCAACAAAGCAUCAAUUUGCUAUAAUAAAUGAGAACCAACUUGACGAUGAGAAAAAUGACUGGUGAUGAUGUCAUAGAGAAUCGCAGAUGAGAACAACCAAAAAUACUAGGAUUGGUACCACUGAUGGUAAUGAAGAAAACACAAAAAUGGUGCAAAUGGUGAACAGGAAACUCAAAAUGGAAUGGGAAAAGAAACCUAAACAAUAGUCUCCUAUAUAAAGCACACAACAUGUACAUCGAGGCAUCUGAAAGGACACGCUGCCUGAGAAGUCACUCUAAUUGAUGUGACUCCUCAUGACGUGGGUGGUGGACAUAUGUCCCAUGGUGCCAAAAAUUUCAAACACUCAAGCAACCGAAUACUUUCACUUAGUCAUUUAAAGCCUAGCUAGACUCAAUUGCAAGAAUUAAGGGCAUUGUGGGAUGCUCACCACCGUCUAUCAUGGUCCUCAAACACUGUCUGGUGUGAGACAUAUUGGCACAAGAGCCAUGUAGCUUCUCUAUCCACCCCAAGAUACUCCUAGGGUAGCAAACGAACACAAUCCGACCAAACACUAUGCAUUCCUACCCUACAAGCAUUAAUUUCAAUGAGCAAUAAGUGUAUUAACACAUUAAUGAAUGCAACCGUUAUAACGCUAAAACGCCAUACUUUAAGGUUCAUCAAGACACAACAACCAUUAUGGGCCGACAAUUAUUGGCGUUAAAUAUGGUAAUGCGCAAUCAAAGGCUCAAUUAAGGCCCUUUAGAAGACGUUACUAUUGGGCAAAGAUAAAUAACCAUUUUUUACCACAAGAAAGUCUGAUGCCAUUUUUUUCACAAAAACUUUUGCUUAAGUCUUCCAUCUCUAACCUAAGCUUUGAAGGGGUGUACUUGGAAAACCUAUCCGAACAUUCCUUUAUGUAGGUGCAAUCAUCGUUUAUGUCACGCGAAGGCUAGUCAAAGACCUUUAUUGGUCGUGCACCAAUAAAUCUAUUUAGUAUAUCUCAUUUAUCCGUUCAAGUGAGAUGAAGGAGUGACCUAAAGAUAGAUUGGAAACAUCAUAGUUUCUUAUAUUGGUAAGGCAGCAACAACCUCGGCUAGUGCAUCAACCUGCUCGUUUUCCUCUAGGGGUACGCGUUUGAUAAACCAUUCAUUCAAUUUUUCUGUUCAAGUGUACCAAAGAGAGGUAAUGAGCCAUGCAUUCAUCUCAAGCUUCAUAUUUUAGUUAGAUUUGUUCACCCACUAGUUGUGAAUUGCUUUUGAUUUCUACUUUCAUGGUUGUGAGAGCUAAGGCUAGAUCGUCUCAUAAGAAUUGCUUCAUAUUUUGCCUCAAUAUUAGAUACUGGAAAGUUGAGACAGACGACUUGUUCAAUUUGCUCUCCUGUAAGGAAUUGUUGUGUUAGUCCUAUCCUAGCUUCUGAUGUUCUAGAGGCUUCGUCUACAUGGAGAACACGCCAUUGUUCUUCAUUGUUAGACCUUGUCCAUUUUUGGGGUGGUUCGACUAUGAAAUCAAUGAGAACUUGCUAUUUGAGAUACUAAUGAGGUUUGUACCGUAUGUAAUAUUCACUCAAUUUGAUUGCCCAAUUCACCAUUCGACUAGAUAGAUUUAGCUUGUGCAACGUGACCCACAACGGUUGAUUUGUCAAGACCGUUAUUUGGUGCGCCUGAAAAUAUGGACAAAGCUUCUUGGCAGCGAUCCGUAAGUUCAGAGCCAUUUGUUCCACUUAAGAAUAUCGUGUUUUUGUGUCAAUCAUAGCUUUUCUCACAUAGUAAAUAAGUCUUUGUUCAUUACUCUAAUUGUGUGGAAACAAUAUGACAUUGACAGCAAAGUUUGACACAACCAGGUACAUGUAUAACUCUUCUCUAGCUUCAAGACUACUUAAGAUUGGUGGCUUCGUAAGAUACUGUUUGAUGUCUUUAAAGGCAUGCUCACACUCAUCCAUCUAACUAGACAUCUUUGCUCCCUAGAGUUUGCUCAAGAAAGGUCUGAGCUUAUUUAUGAAGCGUGUUAUGAACCAACCUAAGGUGAUUAGACACCCAGUUAGACGUUGCACUUCCUUCUUGCUAGUAGGAGCAGGGAUUUCUAACACUACUUUCACUUGAGCCAGAUCGACUUCAAUACCCCCUUUGAGUCACCAUGAACACAAGAAACUUCCACUCACUUACUCUAAAUGCAUAUUUUAUUGGAUUAAGCUUCAUGUCAUACCUGCACAUUAAACUGAAUGCUUCUUCCAAAUGGAGGAGCUUCUUGGAACGAGUUAUUCUCUUAAUGACAAUGUCAUCGAUAUAGACUUCCAACGUUCGACCUAUCAAGGGCUUAAAAAUAUGGGUCAUCAACUGUUGGUACGUAGCUCCAAUGUUCAUUAACCCAAGCGACAUGAUCUUGUAAAAGUACAACUCCUUAUGUGUAAUAAAUGUCAUCUUCUCUUUGUCAUGUGGAAACAUUGGUAUCUGGUGGUAUCCAAAAGAAGCAUCAAGAAAAGACAACAUUCCAUGCCUGGUUGUGGCAUCGACUAUCUAAUCUAUCUAGAGCAAUGGGAAGCUAUCUUUCAAGCAGACUUCAUUCAUAUCCACGUAGUCUGCGCACACCUGCCAUUUUUCUCCUUUCUUGGUACCACUACCACAUUUGUUAACUAGUCCAAGUAGGUCACCUCCUUGAUAAAUCUUCCUUUUAAUAGCUUCUCAACUUCUAUCUAGAUAAUUUUUUGAUGAUCCAACUAGAAACGUCAGACUUUAUAUUGUAUGGGUCGUGCUGUAGGAAGAAGGUUCAACUUAUGAGAGCUCACCGCUAGGUCUAUUCCAAGCAUUUCCGAAUGAAUCCACACGAGGAUAUCCUUGUUUUUACAAAGCAUUUCACCAACAUUACCACAUUCAUCCCUAGUUAGCAAAAAAUUAGCGUAAGUCAUCUGCUUAUUAUUUUUCGACAAAGAUAGCUAUUGUAAUAGGCUGAUUGCCAAUGAGUCUCUAUCCUCUAGUUUUCCUUCGACCUAAUUCUAUAAUUGUUAUUAGCUCUCUCUUGAUGAUUUGAGUUCAUCUUUAGUUGGGCCUGAACUCCAUCGCCACUUAGUAACACUACUAGGUGGCUAAUUGGAUUCCAUGUGGAUCCACUUACCCAAAUUCUGUCAGGUAGCUCACCAUCUUAUGAUAGGUGGAUGGAAUAACUUUCAUCUUAUGUAGGUACGACAACCUUAUGAUGGUGUUGUACGACGGUAAAUCCUCUACUAUAGAAAAUCAUACGUUGAGAGUAGGCGGGUUGGCUUGGACAAGAAGUACCACGUCGCAUAGUGAUAUUGUGGCAACCCUAUUAAACCCAAACAAAAGUCGAACUAGAUUUUCUAAGGCAGAUGACGAACAUCCCAUUUUCCUGUAGGUUGACAUAUGCAAUAAAUUGGAAUGAUCAUUUUAGGAAGGAUCACUUGAUUAAUGUUAAUUGAAGGGAAAGUGAUUGGGUCAUUGACUGGUCGGGCACUUUCGACAGUAAAUGUGCACUGAACUGCACUUACUCUUUCCCUCCCUGUAGUCGCACAGAGCAUUCGUCUCCUUUGUUGUUUGGAGUGAUAUUUGUCAUCUACUAUUUCCCCAUGGAUAUAGUUAAUCACUACUCGAUGUGUUGUGGGAGAGUCAGGAACUCACUCUGACACUUCACGUGUCAUUUCUUUAUGUCCACCAGUUGCUCAGACAUACAACUUGAGAUGUCCGGUAAUGAUUAGUUUCUCCACCAAGUAGUGCAAAUUUUUGCACUCUUCUGUGGUGUGCCCAUGCUCCUUAUGAUAGAAUCAUCGCAAUCCUCGAUCAUGCUUGGACGAAUCAGUUUUGAUGGGCUCUAGCCACUUGAACUCGAGCAGCUCUCAAAUCAAGAGGAGAAUUCUAUCAUAAAAAAUGGUCAACGGGGUGAGCCUAGGCGAUUAUCAUUGUUGUUGUCUUUCUUGUCCUUGAUUAGUCUAUCUAGACUGGCUUGAGGGCUUUAAGCUCUUAGCCUUCUUUUUUAAUUGCUCGGUUUAUAACCAGGAUUUGUUGAGAGGUUACCUAAACAUCCUCCUCAAGCAUGACAUGUUUGCCCACUCGUCUAAAUAGGUCAUUCAUUGUAGUGGGCAACUUUUUGGCCAUGGACUUGAAGAAUUGAGUGCUUGGACUGAUGAUCCAUUUGAAGAUCUGCAGGAUAGCAUCCAUGUUGUAAGAUUCCAUCUAGAACACCGCUUGUCUGAAUCACUUCAUGAAGUCCCUUAGCGAUUCAUUCUCCUACAUCUGAAUGUUCUAUAAGGUGCUUAUAUUCUGCUUUUGGCGAGCAAAACAUAAAUAAUGGCCCACAAAGGCCUCUAAAACAUCUGUCAUCUGUUGUUGGAAGUGCAUCAGGUGAACAAAAGAGUCACCAUCCCAUAGUAAAUAGUAAAUUUGGGCACCGGAAACCCCUGGGCAGCUCAUAACUAAUGAUAUGUGGGUCAAACGACAUGAAGAGCAUGUCAUCCAAUCAUCUACUUAUGGAGUCAAGAGGGGCUUUUGUCAAUGGGUUAUUUGUCGAUUGUAGUUCUAGUAUUGAACAUUAAGGCAGACGGCUUGGUGAUGCCUCAUCGUUUGAUUGGCCUAAUUGUGCUUUCAAGGCCUCCAAUAUGCAUGGCGAUGCUAGUGUUCUUCUCUCCUGAUACCCAAGAUAGGCUUUCAGGGCAUCUGAGAGACGUAAGCCCCAUUCUUAACCCAUUUUCCAUUUUUCUCCAAUAGAGCUUGCAACCUCUUUCGCUUGAGUUCGAUCGACUACUGAAUGCACUAGUUCAAGUAAUGUUAGCGAACUGCUAGUAGACAAUCCCUCAUCCACUGUUUGUAGAGACGACUUAGUGUAUCAUUGAAGAACUUUCAUUGUUUGGCUUCAAACUACUCUUGAAGUCGUCUAUUGGUUGGAGGUACGAUGACUUUUUUAUCAGCACCCCAUAGCCACUUGUGCUCGUAGCUCUUGGUUCUCUUGCUGUAGUUGUUCUGCCUGUUGGACAGGGACUACAUAGGUUAUUCAUAUUCUUCUUGCUUUUUUUCUAUCUUUCCUUGCCAAGCUUGGAAUCGCUCGUCAACAUUUGCAGAAUGAGUUGCAGGAGGCGUGUUAACCAUCGUGUUUUUUAGGCAUUUGUGGUUGAUUCCCAUAGACAAUGCCAAUGUUGGUGCACGACCAGUAAAAAAAGGUGUUUGGCUAGUCUCCAUGUAACAUAGAUGACGAUUGCACCUGCACAAAGGAAUGUCUGAAUGGGUUUUUCAGGUACACCUUUCCAAAGCUUAGGUCAGAAAUGGAAGACUUAAGCAAGAGUUUUUGUGGAAAAAUUGGUAGCAUACUUUUCUUGUGGUUAAGAAUAACUAUUUAUCUUUGUCCAACUAUAAUAUCUUCUCAGAUGCCUUAAUUGAGCCUUUGAUUGUGCAUUAUCAUCUUUAAUGUCAAUGAUAGCCAACCCAUAAUGGUUGUUGUGUCUUGAUGAACCUUAAAGGUUGGCGUUUUAACCUCAUAAUGAUUGCAUCCAUCAAUGCGUUAAUGCACUAAUUGCCUAUUGCAAUUAAUGCUUGUUGGGCAAGAAUGCAUAGUGCCCGAUUAGAUUGUGUUUGUUUGGUACCCUAAGAGUACCCUGGGGUGGACAAAAAAGCCACAUGGCUCUUGUUCUAACAUGUCUCGACUAGACAGUGUUUGAGGAUCAUGUUAGAUGGUGAUGAGCAUCCCACAGUGAAGACGUAUGAUGAAAGCAAAGGUAGGGCUUCUAAACCAAACGCUUUUAGGGAUUUUUUUUUUUUUUUCAACAAAGUUGACCUCUUCAAGGAAAAAAAAAAAGGUUAAAAAAACUAUUGCUUUUUUGGAUCCAAAUCACCAUUUCCAAUGUGAUAUUUGGAUUUCCACCAUGUAUUUUUUUUUUUUUUAACAGUCAAGGACAUUUUAUGGAUUAUUGAAAGAUAAUAUCUUUCAACUUAAUUUCCUACAUUAAUUAAGUCUUAGGCUCAAAUGUGAAACUUAAGUGGUUGUUAGGCCAUCAAACCCAUCUGCCCUAAAGUAUAAUUUCCCAUUUUCAAAAUAUAUAGUUGUUAAACAUCUAUCCCAAACUAUUGUAACCCUUUGAAGUGCUUGGUAUGUUAACCUUGUUUCCUUUUCCUUAUGCAACAUGGCUAAUUGAUUGUUGCAUUGAAUCAUUAUCAUUCACCAAAUCCAUUCAACUAUGGACUUACCUUUCAAAUCCCUCUAACAAAAAUGGUAAUUCCAAAACAACUCAAGUCUAAUGUUCUCAACUCUUUCAAAUGAUUUAAUUAAUUGGUGUUUGAAUAUACCUCUUAUAUUUUUUUAGAGCAAUUUUUAGGCACAUAACAUAAAUUUCUAAUUUUUUUUUAGAAAAGGUUUUAUAUUUUAUAUUUUAUAUUACAACUUCCCCUUUUUUUUCCAUCUAAAAAACAAAACAUAAAACCUUAAUAACCGAGUUUUGUCACAAACCCUUAACAAAUAAUCUAUUUUCCAAAAAUUACUUUAACAUCUUUAAACAUAUUGAUUUAGUAUACUUUACUUUUAAUAUUUUUUGAAAAAUAUUUUUAUUUUAUAUGAUUAUUAAUUAAUUAAGAUUGAUUGGGUAUGGUAGAAUAUAUAUUCCAAAAUACAUCGUAUUGAGAACAAUAUCACAAGAUAUUAUAUCCAUAUCUUAACAUAUUAUAUACUUUUAUUUUGUGCAAUUAGCAAUUGGACGGAAGGUAGGGAGCCGGCUUAAUGGAAAUGUCGCAUCUCACGUGUGUCCCUUCCCUUACCAAGUCUCAACAAAGGAUGAAAAUAUCGGUAAUCACGGAUAUAUCGGUACUUCGAUUUUACGGAUAUAUUAGAUAUAUCAGAGAUAUAUUGACGGAUAUUUUGGAAAAAAAUAUCGAUAAGCCUAAAAUUGAUCAAAAUUUAUAAAAAUAUAAAAAAAACUUCAUAAAAAUGUAAUUAAAAGAAGGUCGUAUAAGUUACUCAUGUUGAUCAUGUGAUAUAUCACGAGAUAUAAUCGAUUUUUGGGAAUUUCUCACGAAAAUAUCGCGACAUUUCUUCCUUGUCUCGACUGCUCCAAGAUUUCCUAUACGCCCUUCUUCGCUUAGCUCUUAAGUCUUUUCUUCUCCUCUUCCUCAAACCCAUCACAUUUCGCCGCGUGGAGCUAAGUCUCAAGGUCCUUUUGUUCGUACGAUGUAUGUUCCCCCAAUUCCUCAUCUACCUUGAAACUCCAUACUCGCCAUCUACUCAACCACUUCUCUACUCUAGAGUCUGGAUGCUUUAUCUCCGCGAGUGUCGAUGGCUCUUCACCCCAGCGAGUAUGGAAUUACAAGGGCAAUAUCGUCAUUAAAGACACAACAGGCAAACCAAUGGCAUUGUCUUCCUUUUGGUCUAUUUUAUUUAUGCUGUAAGUAUUCGUGCUUGACUUCUCCCGCGUCUCUUAUAAAAACUAAAGAAAACCACUCCAACAGAGCACACUUCAAGAAUCUUCUUUUUUUUUUUCUUUCCUCUUUCUCUUUACAUAUAUACUGAGAAAGCCCAGCUCAUCCCUCAAUUCCCAGAUGGGUUUUAUGAAUGUUCUCAAGUUCUCAGCUGCAUGCUUUGAUAUUCUUGCCUGGUAUGUUGUCCACGCAUUUUCUCGCCAUUGGAAAUUUUUGGAAAAUGAAGUGGAAUUCUCUGUUUGAGGACAAACAUGGGAUUUUCUUUGAUUUCUCCCUGUUGGUUUUAUCUAUAUUCUUUGGAUUACCCACAUUCUUGUCAUUGAUUGUUAGUCAUUUGUUUGGAUUUCUACUUGCAGGCCUCUAUUUGCACUGGGUUAUCCUCUGUAAGUCUUGGUCUUACACCUCAAGAUAUGAUGAUUCAUUUACUCUUUUCUUGUUCUACGAAUAGUUCAGUUACAUUUAUUGUGUUGGGAAACUGAAAAGGGAAAGGAUUAUUCUUUAUUAUCGUAAUAAUCAUCAACAUCAUCUCGGUUCUUCACAGAUGUUCUUCAAUUCGGGCAAUUGAGACUAACUCAAUCUCAGACUUUCGGAAGUUGGUGGCGUAUUGGGUUCUAUUUUCCUUGAUUUCACUCUUUGAUCAUGCUUUUUCCAAGCUCCUUGAAUGGUAAUUUUGCUCAACUGCGUUCCACUAUAUGUGACUCUGUUUGUUUCAUUUCUUUGCCCUUAAGGAAUUUGGAGUUGCUUUUUUCAGUUUUCUUUCCUAUGAAAAUAAUCGAGAUGUUUAAUGUUCCAGGCCUCCAUGUAUUUUAUAUUCCUUCAUUUCUCUGCUUUGACAAAUGCUCACAAUCUGAUCAGCAGAAAGGUUAUAACAUUUGAAAAAGAAGUGGUUUAUUUUUGUUUUUUUUAAGUACAAUAAUUUUCGUUUGGAUAAAUGGUCUGAAGGGUGUUUGUGUUUGGCUGAGUUCAUGGAAUUUUCAAGCUAAUUUGGGAUUUAUUCUCAAUUUCAAGAUCAUUGUGGAUAUGUCAGAAAUUAAUGAAAUAUAAAUGGUGGAAUGUGAUUUUCUUGUUUAAGAAAAGUUUUUCUUUGAAAAUGCGGGUGCACCAGACCUACCUUAUUGNNNNNNNNNNNNNNNNNNNNNNNNNNNNNNNNNNNNNNNNNNNNNNNNNNNAUCAGAUUCAACUGUGAUAGCCCGGAAUUUAAUUCAGUAUUCGACUCUUCUGGGAACAUGUUGGUUAUGGUUUCUCUCUCACUGUCCUCUUCUUUACACAUGACUUUUCAGUUGAGGAGCACAAAGCCUAAUGUUGAAGUGAAAGAGAUCAAAGCACCUGCAGCACCGGAGAAAAAAGGGGAACAGGUAAGUACUCUAAUGUGGCUAUUUAAUUUCUAUGGAGGCAGAUCCCCAGAGAAAUGCUGUUCAUGUAAAUUACUGAUGCAUUUGAUUCAAUGGCCACGGUUUUAAAAGAAAAACCACUUUAUGUAUGUUUCUGUGAAUGAGAGAACAAGUUUAUGGAUUAAAUGAUAUUUUUUAUGGUGAAAUAAUCAAUAAUUUUCAAAAUAAUAAUACAUUCCUGCAUGUUUUUGCAAUUCAUGAAUUCCUUUUAUGAUUGAUUCUUCUCACCUUUUUUCUCACCUCAGUGGAAGUGUGAAGAGCCUAAUGUUGCUCAAAAAGAGAUCCAAGUAGUCAAAGUAACAGAGAUAAAAAAUGGGGGGGAUGGAGCAAAGAGGGUAAGUUUUGCUUUUUAUUUAUAAAGUAGGCUGUCUUCACACAAGGAUUAUUAUUAUUAUUAUUGUUAUUAUUUUAAGACAUGAAUGUUGAAUGAUUUUGGAAUUGUCCUUGAAUCAUGUGAAGUGUGAAUGGUCUAAUGCUGCUAAGGAGGAGGUCAAAGUGACAGAAGUAACACAGAGAACAUUUGGUGGUACAGCACAGUGGGUAAGGUUUCAUGUCAUAUUUAAAUGGCUCCUCAUAUUUCACUAGGAUUAAUUUUGCCCCUACAAACUAUUUGGCUACAAGUUAAGACAGAGUUCCAGAUGCUGAUAAAGCUGAGACAUAAGUAAUGAACGAAUUUAGACACAUGCACAACUCUUGUGUGAAACACAAUGAGAGUGGAAAAUAGCUAAGUUGAAAAAUGGCCAAAUACUAUUUUGUAGUUCCCCCUACCACUUAAGUAAUUUUUGUCAUCCUUUGUGAAUGGAAAAUGCAGUCCCUUCAGUAAUUCCAUUAUAUUCAUGACUUGGUGAAGCAUAUAACCAUUAGUGUCUUACCCUAAGUCGACCUUUAAUGAUGAUCCAUUGAGAUGGGUCUGACUUUUGUCAACCCUCUUAUUCCCUUGAUCAUAGAGGUGAAACUUAGGGGGCUUAACCCACUUUUCAAUCUUAUUGGAUAUAUGGCACGUGGUAUCCUCUUCAUCUUGAAAGAGUGAAGUGGUCAUACUCUUUCCUCUGAGUCCAUUGUGGCCAUGCACUUCAGGCUCAUUGGGCUGAGUGAAAGGAUUCCCUUCUGCUUCAAAUCAUAGAGAGAUAUGCCAUGGUCAGCCUCUUUAAUUCAAGGGAUUGAAGUACUCAAAUCCAUUUCUCUGUAUCCAUCUUAGUUCUGCAUUCAUGUCUCAUGGUUAACCAAGAAGAUCCAGCCUCCAUCCAUGAGAUCAGCAUCUGCAGGUUUAUGACACCACCCUUCCUUUGCAUAGGAAAGGGAUCAUUAAGCCAUGUGUCGGAUGACAGAAGUCAUCAUUCAGGUUAUCUUGAGAACUAAGGAAGUUGGAAUUCUAAUUAUUGCAUAUGGUUCUUGAUGUUUAGCCAAUAUACUAUAGGAUUUUAAGCAUCAUGCUCACGUGCAUUGUGGUUGCUUAUCAGCUAUAUGGUUUGCCAAAAUGAGGGACUGAUUAUGGUCAUAAGUACCUUUUUCCCAUUAAUUUCUUGCAUGUGCUCUGCUGAGAUUAUGUUUUUGACAGUCCAAAUCAGGGCAAACCAACAAACAGCUUUAUGUUAACUUUUACAAACUGCCAUAUUUUCAGGUUAAACAAACAGAGAUAAAUCUUGGUGAAACUAGAAGUAAUACAACCUGUGCUGUGGAGAUAAAAGAAAGGGCAGCAGCACUGGUGGCUGCAGAAAUUGAGGCAUGUAGAGACGAUAGAACCCCCAAGAUACCUCUUCAUGAGAAAGUCCAGAAAGAGUGGGCUUGUGCUGUGUGCCAGUUCACAACCCAAACUGAAGCGACCUUCAAUUCCCACCUUCAAGGGAAGAGACAUCAGGCCAUUUCUGAGCAGCUGAGAGCCAAAAAUCAGGCAACCAAAACCAAUUGUUCCCCAUCUGCUUCAAUGGCCAAGAAAUCUGAUCAGUCCACCAAAGAGGAGCAACCGAAGUGUACUUCCAAUCUGAAUUCCAAAAACAAUGGAAUCUCAGCUGCUUCAACAGUGAAGAAACUUGAUGAGACCAAAGAUGAUGAGCAACAAAAGUCUGCAUCUAGCAAUGGACCGAACCAGAAGAAUAACAAAAAGCAAGAGGUACAGACCAAUGAGCAAGGCCGUCAGAAGAACUUAAGGCAAACUGGUGAUGGAAUGAAAGAGUUGAGAUCAUGGUGCAAUAUCUGUAAUGUAAGCUGCACAAGGGAGCUUGACCUGGCCUCGCAUCUCAAUGGAAGGAGGCACUUUGAUAGGAUAAAGCAGCUGUCUGAAUUAUGGUGCAGUAACUGCAAUGUAAGGUGCAACAGUGAGGUUGAUAUGGCCUCUCACCGAAAUGGGAGGAGGCACUUGGAGCAGCUGAAGGAACGGUUAGGAUUAUGGUGCAGUAUCUGUAGUGUGAGUUGCAACAGCAAGGUGGACAUGGAUUCUCACCUAAAUGGGAAGAUUCACUUGGAUCAGAUCAAGGACCAGUUAAGAUUAUGGUGUGGGGCAUGUAAUACAACCUGCAAGAGUGAGCGCAACAUGGCCUUUCAUCUGAAUGGGAGGAAGCACUUAGAGAAGAAGGGGAAUACCUGAUUUGCAUGUUUCUUCAGAUUAUUGAUACUUACAAAUGGUUUUAGUUAGAAGCAUACAGGCCAGUGGGUGGUGGUCACAGAUGCCUCUAUUUUGUUGUAUGAAGUAAAAACAGUAUUUCCAUGUCCAGAAAUCAACCACUUGUUUAGUGCAUGCAUGGCUGGUUCAAAAUUAAACCUAAUUGUGAAUGACUAGGAGCAGGGAGGGAAAAAUUGAAGGGAAGAAUGUAAGAUUAUGGCUUCAUUUUUAUUUUUUCCUCUUCUGAAAAUUGUAAGAUUGUGUUAGGAGGAGCUGGAAUGGGUUCAAAUCAGGAAUUAAGACCCAGUUCCAAGACAUGGAAAGUGUCUUUAGAUUAUGUUAAGUUAUUUCCAUUUUUUUUUCUUUUCUAUUUUUUUUCUUUAUUUAUUGUAAGAGGGAGCAUAAAUGAAUUUUUAUUUUUUAUUUUUUUUUUCAGAAUAAAGAUGAAUUUGAUAAUUUCAAUUAUUGCGUUUGGAUGUAUUUCGGAACGUAAGAUUGAAAUAAUUAUUUGUUUUCAUUUUAGUGUUUGAUAAUAAUGAAAGUAUGAAUUAAAAAAUAAAUUGAUAAUAAUACUCUUACAUUUAAUUUAAAACAAUUUUUUAUUUUUAUUUUUAUUUUAGAAGAAUAUGGGUUAAUUUUAUUUAUUUAUUUUUUAAAUAAUAAGCUUAAGAAAAAUAAUUUUUACUCAAUAAAUAAAAUUAAUCAUACAAAGUCAUAAAAACCAAACCAAAAUAUAAGGGUAAAAUAGUAAUUUUAAAAUAUUCAUUUAAGUUAUCCAAAUGCAUUCCUACUCUUCAUUCUCUUGUACGAAAUACGGUCUUUAAGCGUUUGUCAAACUUAUUUCUUUUUUGGCAAUAUAUCAAUAUUUUAGUAAUAUUUUUAUCGAUUAGUUGCUGAUAUUUAUCGCCACGUCACCAAUUCUUUGAGUUUGACUUUCAAAAUUUUGAAAUGAUCAUUGAAGUCCAGUUCAGCCCAAAUCACUACACCCAUGAAAGGGAACGGCUGGGCCACCACACUAAUAUGGCCCAUACAUGGGACCUCGUAAAAGAAUACCCAUCUUCAAAAAUAGGGACCAUAUUAAAUUAUUAAUGUAGCUAUAGGAAGCAUUUGAGGACAAGGGUCAUGAUUUUUCCCUUUUCUUUUUCUCCUUAAUUUUCACAUCACCCAACAACACCACUCUUAAUUCACACAAAUUUGAAGGUUUGGAAUGAGACUUAUUCGUAUUUAUAUUGUAAUUAUGCUAUAAUAAUCGUGUCGUAUUUGGAUUUAUUUAUUAAAUCCAUCUAAAUCUUUUGUUUAUUCGUGUCAAAACAAUAUAUUUAUAAUCGAAUCCAUUUAUGACAUAUUCAUCUUUUAUAAAUUUAUUAAUUUUAUAUAUUUUAAAAUUAUAAAAAUUAAAUAUAUUUUUUCAAUUAUGAAAUCAUAUUACUAAAAUAUUAAAUAAUUCAUUAACUUGAAAUGUUUUACAUUUCAUUAAUUAUUUUAUAAUUACAACAUUAAGUGAAAUAAUAAAUAGGUAUAAAAUAUAUAUUUUAUUUUAGUUAAAAAUUAUAAAUUGUUAUUGAGACAUAUAACUAUUAAAAUUCUACCCAUUUGACUAUCAAACAAACAACUUAAGUUUUUAGUCAUGAUUUAAGCUUAUGAUAAACUCUAUUUACAAAAAUUAGAAACCAAAAUCAAAUUCUUCCUAGACUCAAAAACAUAAAGACAAUCUUUUAACUUUAGAAGACAACUAUCAUCUAAGAUAAGGGUAACUCAUCCCAUUGCAUGUACAACAAUUCUUGCUUCAAAAGCUAAUGUUAGGUACAUAUCCCUAUCAUUCAACCUUUCCCUUAGCUAAAACCCCUAUAAAGAAUUAUAAACAUGAUCAAUGGCUCCAAAAUUUAUCCACCAAGAGUUAGUGGAAUCUAACACUAAAAAUGAUUCAACUAAAAGAGAAUGAUGCAUACCUAACUGUCUCUUCAAGAACUAAGGGCAUUCCUUCUUCUAGUGGCUUUUUUUACCACAAAGGAAACACUUAUCAUGACCCUUACUCUUCUUCUUUUUCCCUUGCCCUUGAACUUUCCCUUCUGCUUGGUGAAUUCUACAAUGUUCUUCUUAUUUUGGUUAGAAGAACCUAAAGAACACUUAACUGCCAUAUAAAUACCUCUCUGGUCCUUGAGAAUUCCCUCAAUUGUUUUGUGUUCUCUCAUCAGUUCGGUUAUAGUUUAAGAAAAAAAAUGUUUUUUUUAUGUGACUAAACUUGGAAUGAAUGUCCAAGUUGCAUACAUACUCGGGCUAAGAUCAAGUCAUAACGUAGUUUAAGAAAAAAGAUUUUUUUUUUUUUUUUUUUUUUUUUUUUUUUGUGAUUGAACUUGGAAUGGAUUUCUAAGCUACUUACGUAUCCAGGAUGGGAUCAAGUUCUAACAUAGUCACAAUGCAGUUCAAGAAUUUUUUUUUUCUUUUUUUGUGCUCUAACUUUUGCCAAGACUAAAGAUCUUAAUUUUGCGAGCAUGUUCUAACUUUUGCCUAGGUCGCCUUUCCAAGUUUUCAAUUUAGCAAACAAGGUUUUUUUUUUCUUUUUUUUCUUUUUCUUUUUUUAGUUCUCUAACUUUUGCCAAGACUAAAGAUUUUAAUCUUGGAAGCAUGUCUUAACUUUUACCUUAAGUCGAAUUUUUAGGUUUUCAAUGUGGUGGAUUUUUUUUUUUUUUUUUUUUUUUUGUGUCGUAGGUAAUUUAAGCUCAUAUGGAUUGGAAGCAAUGUGUAGUUUGUUGGGAUUAAGCCCUUAAAAGCAAGACAUGAUGUAAUAAAGUUAAACUUAACUAUUUCCUUACUAUCUUUUUGGUGUAUCAACAUUGAUUUAAACAUUCAACCCAUAUCUCUUACAUUGUACAUGAUUUAGGAGCAUUAAGAGUUGCACAAAAGAUACAAGUUAUGGGUUCCUUGUAAGUAGAUGAGUUAUCCAUAGUCAUUUCAUGGAUUUGGGCAAUCUAGUAGUGACUAUAGUGCACCACCUCCUAAUUUAAGGGAUGACUUGUCUUGGCAGUUGGGAUGAGUUUCCUAUGGUGAGCGUACUAGUGUAAAUGAUGCACAUUGGACAGGACCUAUGGUGAAUCAUGACGCAAGGCUAUCAAUUGUCAUGAUUCACCAAGUUACUAUACUACAUGGACUCUCAACCUUGAGAGGACAUUGAACCCAUGUCAAAAUCAAUAGAAAGUUUUGACCUAUGGGCGAGACCCUAAAGUAGUCAUAUAUUCCUAUGGAUUAGGUCAUUGUUGAUGUAGGCUGGUUAUAAUAGGCAUUCUCAAUAGAGGCACCAUGAUAUGUCAUGGGAUUGAGAUGGUGUGUCCCUUUGGGUGAUCCAAAGAACAUGUGAUCAUGAAAUUUGUGGCCACAGUAAUUCCUUUAGUGAAAUUUGACAUAUGCUCCUUGGAGUUAGAGUAUGUCAAUUGAUCACAUAAUAAGUGAGAUCUAUAACUCAAGGAUUUGAGAGAUAAUAUUGAUAGGUGAUAACACUAACUUGUUAGAUUUAGACACCAGUUUCAUGAGGAAUAUGCAUGUAGUGGAUAGUAGGUCAUGAAUGCGAGCUUUGUCUCGUUGUUAUUUACAUAAGGUACCGGAGUGUAGUUGAUUCUCUUUAGUAGAGUGUUGAAUCAACUUCAAAAUUGGAUUAUGAGGUAGUCAGUACUCCUAUGGGUCUCAAUGGUCCCCACUCUGAGCUAAUAUACCAUGAUGACACAAUUUAUGAGGGUUGGAUUGACUUUAGGUUCAUUCUUAUGCAUAAGGGCAUUUUGAUAAUUACACAAGGUUGCAUAGGGGAUAAUAAAUAAGGUCUCUAGAUUGGACUAAUUGAUUAAUUAGAUGGCCUUAUGUGGUUAAUUAAUCAAUUAAGACAUGUUAGGGCUAGAUUAAGUGACCCAAGCCUUGAUGGGUUCAAGUCACUUAAGCCUAAUGGGUAACCGUAUAAAUACCUCCUUAUGGGUUAGGGUUUUCUAAUGACUUUUAGUUAGUCAUCUUCCACUUUUAGAAAAAUAGAGAGAGCCAAAGCUUCCUCCUUUCCACUGCCCACACUUUGGUAUGCCAAGAUCGGGAAUCGAGUCAUCGAACAAAAGAUCUUAGGUGUACGAGACCUUUGAACUCUUUAGGCUUCUUCUUCGUUGGAUGGAUUUUGAUCUGGGAACAUCUAGAUCACAUGUAUGUGUUAUAAUAUUUGGUUAAUUCAACCUAAGGUAAUCACCCUAGAGAAGGGGUGAAUAGGGUGAUGAUUUUUUUUUGCAAAUUUAAAUUAUGUGAAUGCAAGAGACAAUUAUAUGCAAAAUAUAUGGCAAAACCAUAUAAAAACAAUUGCAUAUAAAGUAAAAGGUUAAGGAAGAGAGAAUAUAAACACAAGAUUUUUAUAGCGGUUCAGUGCAACCCGACCUCCAUCCAUUCUCUUCUAGCUUCAAUACUAAACUUGAGGUUCCACUAAUUCAAGGCUUCCAAUCCAAGCCUUCAAGUAAUACAAUUGGAUUAUGGUUCCAAUCAAACCUCUUGAAAUUUUAGUUCUAAACACAUUUUACAAUCUUCAAGAGAUACCUCACUCUUGAACAACUCCUUAAGUGAUACCUCACACUUGAGAAUCCCUAAGUGAUACCUCACACUUAGAUUUUUCAUCUCAAAGAUUUAUCCGCUCUGCACCCACCUCCCGAGUAUAUGCUUCAACAGGAAUCACACAAGGGUAGAUUGAUACAAUAGAAACCUCUGGUAAAAUGCCCGCUCGUAACCCAGCAGAUAAAGUACAUUACAUAGUCCGUUUUAGGGAUUGGCUACUUACCCAUUCAGUGACUUUGGCACUGGACGUUCCCAAAAUGGGUACUAUCGGGUCGGGUGAAUUCAAUAAUAGACGCCUGUUGGCAUUCCAGCCUUCCUUCUCCUUUCAGGGCCUAUCCGAAAGAGAAUCCAGUACUUCUUGGUCAAAUGAAGAUAGGAAAUUAUUAGCCUAAGGACUCUCCUAAUCGGGUUUUGAUGAUAACAAACCAUGAUUAAAUGACUAAUUGGUUUAAUGGUUAAGAAUCUCAAGCAUAAACUCGAAAAUUCAUCAAAUGACCAAAUGGAUACAAGAUCGAGACAUUUGGAAGACUUGUGAUCAUAGGAAACUAAUGUAAGAUGAAUGCAUGAGUGCACUUAGGAUUUUCAUACCGUUUCAUACAAUUUAGAAAACUCAGUUUAUUCUUUAAAACUUCAAUUUCAUUAAAACCCGAGUUUUAACAAUUGUACCUCAGGCAAAAUGUUUUAAAAUUGGCAUAAUAAUUCACCUAAAAACCUUGCCUAAGUGUUAGGAAAGAAAGGAAUUGAAAAAGAUAGGUUUUCGGGGCCAAAAGGCUCAACCGGUCGAGGCUAUGGCCAACCAACUCAACCGGUUAGGGAAUCGGUCGACUGGUUACCCUUGUCCAGUUGAGGUCCGAUCGAAGGAUGCACAAAAUUUUCUCUCUCUCCCAGUAGCCUUCUCUUCCCGGUUGAGGUUAUUCUCUUCCCUGUCGAGGUCCGGUAUAGGCAACGGUAACCUGUCAAGCAUUAAAUGCUCCAACGGCUAGCGAACCGGUCAACCCCUAGCUCGACCGGUCAAGGUUACCUUUUGUUGUUUUUGACUCCCGAGCUUAGAAACCUAUAAAUUGAGAGCUCCACUUCAUUUAUUGACGAGAUAACACUUGCAAUCAAUUGUCUACCUAUUUGUUCUUGAUCAGAAAGCUCUCAUUUCUUUCUUAGUACAUUAAAUCAUCACUUGCAUAUCCUUUAGUGCACUCUUGUGUGUCAUCCUAGAUUUGUCUUGUAUUUGAGCUAUCUUUAAGCUAGGUUGAGGGAUUCAUUCUUGUAAAAACCGAGUGUUAAAGCCUUCAAGAAGUUUAAAUCUUGAAGAGAUUGUGUAAGAGUCCAUUGGAGCCAAAAUCCAAGUGUAAGAAGAUUGGAAGUUUGGUUGAAGUUUCAAGUUAGUGGAACCUUCACUCGGUUAGGAGAUUGAGGAGACUGAACGUAGGCAAAGAAGUGUCGAACUACUAUAAAACCCGAGUUUGAAUUCUCUAACUCUAGCUCUUUAUUUUGCUUAUAUUGUGCUUGAACUCGUUGUGAUUUAAAAGAAUUUAAAAAACCCCUAUUUGGGUGUUUUUCUUAAUUAAGCAUAGCCUUUAUUUUCUCAUAAAUAAUCUUACAAAAUCUUAGUACAAACUUUAGCCUUAAAUGAUACAAAAUAAACUAGGAUUGAAUGGUGCACUAAUGAUAUGUAAGUUUUAAAACAAUGUGUACAAAAAACACUCCCCUAAAGCUCAAAUAUAUUCGAGAAAGGUUUAAGAAGGUUAAACUCUUGAAACAAUAAAUAUUGAAACCUUUUUAUAGAAGAGAAAAACCAAACUACCUGUUGGGGAUUCGUUCGAUCAAGCUCUGGUUCGACCAGUUCACUAGCCUUUAGCAUUUAAUGUAUGAUAGGUGACCAUUGGACCUUGACUACCCCUUGAUUGGUACUCGACCGGAUGAAGUUCAACCUUGAUUGAUCGAAUAAGCAUUCUGGAAGAGAGAUAAGGUUUUUGCACCUUUCAACCGAGUAAGCUGAAUAGGUCGACUAAUUUCUCAUUCGAUUCAACCGAUUGAGUCAUUUUUUGCUCAACAACUAUUAUUUUCAACUUAAAACCUUUUAAACAAGUUUGGAAAGCAUUUGACAUAAGGUUUUAGUUGAAAACAUGAAAUCAUCCAAUUUUUAAAAGAUUUAAAACAAAAUAACUCUUGAAUGAUUUUGGUGUAUAAGUAAAGAAUGUAAUGCAUGAAAAACCCAAUGCACCAACAACCUUACAAAGAGAUCCUAUGAGUCUUAGGUCUUGAAAAACACUUAUCUUUAAGGUCUUCUUCUUCUUAUUGAUUUUAUCUUUGUGAUUGCCACUUUGGAAAUCAUCUUGCCUAGUCACACUUAAAAUAUAAUCAUUAGUUCUAAAUCUUGUUUUGUUAUCAUCAAAACUAAGAUUAACCAAACCUUGGUUUCACAAUAUGAAUAUUGUAUCUCUAGAUCUAUAGUUAAUAGUGGUUUUUAUAGUCAUUUGUUUCCAUUGCGAUAAAUUUAGAGAAGCUUAGGGAUAGAUGAAUGCACCCUAUGAGAUCUAGGGCAUAGGAAUGGAGUAAUCCGGGGUUCCUAACAUAGUUUAGGCUUGUGCUUCAUGGAGUGAUAACAAUUCUUCAAGCAUAGUUAUGCUUUAGAAAUUUGUUAUUGAUUGGUCCAAUUUUUAGACCAUCUUCAGCAACAAUCUUGUGUGCACCAUUGAUAUAAUCUUGUUAUACAAAAUAUGAUCUAUCACAUUUUUGGCAAGAACUUUCCACUGGUUUUGUGCAUGGUAAUGAUCAUGCAUGCAAACUUAACUAAGUUAUACACUAGAUGCCAAACUACUACAAUUCUUAUACACCUUCCCGUUUUGUGCAACUGAACAAUUCAACAUCAUAACACCAAAGUUCUUGCUUAGAUUUCCUACAGUGCUAAAAUUUUGAAAUGAUUAAUUUGUUUAUUUUUCUUUCAAUCCCAAGACCCACAUACAUCAUGUCAUGCCCUAAGACCCACUCUAAGGGCAUGACAAUCAUUUCACAUCUCAAGGUCGAAAGCUCAAAGUGUAAAUUGACCUUAACAUUCAUUUUGUAACUGGAAAAUUAUCAAUUACCAAAUUCAUAUUUAUAGUAGUAGAAUAAAAUUCUACAAGUUUCAAAUCUCAACUUUAAAGUUAACACAUCAACUAAAGUGUUAUUGUCCAAACAACUUCAAACUUAACAAUUCAAGCAAUCAUUAAAUUCUAACUUUCAAAAAAUAUUUUUUAAAAAUAAAGAUUUAACGAAAAGUCUUAGUAUUGCCAAAAUCUCAUCCUAACCUUCACUCCUAGCCUGAAUUAAGGUGCCUAAAAAAUUGUCAAUGAAAGGAAAUGAGAUCAACGCUCAAUAAGGAAUAUUAAUAAGGUUUCAUGGAUCAAACAUUUUUAAUUAUAAUUCCAAAUAGGAGAUAUAAUAUAUAAUCAUUUUCAUAAGAAAUUUUGAGUUUAAAUAUAAUAAUAUAUUGAAAACUUUUCAGCUAAACAUUUUCAUAUCUAUGUCAAAACAAUUUCAUAUCAAAUUCAAAUCAAAUAUAUACAAAAUAUUUUUACUUUGGUUAUCAAAUGUCACAUGGUGUCAAGUUAGGUGGGACUUUACAAAUUGGUGUCUAACCUCAAAUUUUUUCCUUUCAAGGUGGACGAAACCAAACACUACUAGUAUUAUUAACAUCUAACCAAAUCCCUAAAGGGUGAGAUCUAAAGCAAUUACAUUCUCCGCCAAGAAAUAUAAGGUCAACAAUUAUAACUCGUUGACUAGGGACAAAAAUAAACUAGAGUCAAACACCUUAUUUCAUUAAUUCAAACUUGCAAAACAAAAACAUCAUAUCUCCAUAAUUUUCAUUUUUUAUAAACAAAAGAAAUGUUCUAACAUAGUUUUUUCAUGAAAAAUAUAUAUUUGAUCCAUGCAUAAAAAUAAAAAUAAUUUUUUUAUUAUUCAAAAUAACAUAUAAAAAUAAAUAUGUUCUUUUGGCCAAAACAUGUAUUAAUUUUUCUUACCUCAAAGAAACACUCAAAGACCUUGAAGCAAUUAAUCCUAAAGAAUUUCACCCCAAAAAACAUAUUUCACACCUUACUAAAAAAAAAAAAACAAAACAAAAAAAUUACUAUUGAUUAUUUAUCUAAUAAUAGUUUUGUAUUUUAUAUCACCUAUAUUAUUUUUAACUUCCUAAUAAAUAACAAUUUAAUAAGCGAUUUUCCAAAUUUUUAAAAGUUAUGUUCUUUCCAAAAUUUAUUCAUAAUAUUCUAUUAUUAUUAUUAUUAAUUAAAUCUCUCAAAAAUAUGUUUUUUCUAUUUAUUGCAUUAAACUAUUAUUAUUAUUAUUCAAUUUCAAUUUGAUUAAUUGGUUUUUUCUUUUAAAUUCCUAAUUUAUAUAAGAUUCUUGUUUUGAAAAUCUUCCAUAUUUACUUAUUUGUUUAAAGUAAAUUUCUCCAAAACUUGUUCCUUUUGGUUAAACAAGUAUCUUUUCCUAUUAUUAUUAUUAUUAUUAUUAUCCCUAAUAUUAUAUUCAAAUAACUAAACAAUAAUAAUUUAAAUUAGUGAGUUUCCAAAUUUUUAUAAAACUCAUAUUCAUUCUAAAUCUUAUCAUAUAUAUCAAUUUCUUUUAUAUACUUAAAUUAAAUUAAAAAAUUUACUUAAAAAAUAUAUAUAUUAUAUUAUUACUUUCAACAUCCUUCUACCACCCAAACAAUUACUUCAAGUAAAAGUCAUAUAUCCUUAUUCUACUAACUAUCCUCUCUCUUGCAAUAGCACACUUAGGGAUGGCAAUGGGGUGGGUUCGGGAUGGAUCGCCCCUAUCCCAACUCCUCCCCAUUUAUUCAAAAUAAUUUUCAUCCUCGUCCCAUUUAAAAAAUUAAAUGAGGCAGGGCGAGUAUGAUAAAUUCUCAUAUUCGCCUCGCCCCGCCCCGUUUAACUCUUUUUUGAAUUUUUUUUUAAAAUUACUUUAAAAAUUUUUAAUUACAUUAAAAUAAAUAUAUUUUAUAAAUAAUUAAAUUAUUAUAUUUUUUAUAACUUAUUUUAUUAAAAAUAUUUUAUUAUUAUCUAUAUAUUAAAAAUAGUAAAAUAAAAAUUAAAUUAAAUUAAUUUUAUAUAUAAUUGGGGUGGGACGGGAUGAGGCAAUACCCAAACCUGCUCCGGGUUUUAAAAAAAAUUCUCAAACCUAUCCCAAACCCGUUUAUUAAAAUUAAAUCUCGUCUCAUUAGGGACGAGGCGAGUACCUGAAAAAACCUGCCUCAUUGCCAUCCCUAGGCAAACUUUCAUUUUUUUUUUUUUUUUUAUCUUUUUCCUCCUUAAGAUCAAUCCUAUUGUAAGCACCCUUUUUUUUUCUACCACAUCUUGUUGCAAGCAACCUUGUAAGUUUUUUUAAUUUAAAUUUUUUUUCCACUAUGGAGGCACGUACAACCAUAAAACCUCCUCUUUUUUUUAUUUUAUUUUUACAACUCUCAAAUCUCUCAACCUCCAUACUAUUAGGUUUUAUUCAUUUAUUUAUUAUUAUUAUUAUUAUUAUUAUUAUUCCAUAUCCAAAACUAUAAUUAAUUUUCUUUUAUAUUUUUUUAUUUUAGAUCUAUUAAUUUGAAUAUUCGAAAUUUUCUAAUCUUACUAAUAACUCUAAACGUUCAAAACUAAUUAAUGAAUAUAAAAUAUUAAUCUAAGGAUUAAAAUCUUAUAUAGAAAAUUGAUCUUUAAAUCCUAAACUCCCAAAUUUUCAACCUUACGUUGCCCUAUGUUGUCCAAUCUCUUAGAUCUCCAUGUAAAAGGGUUUUUUUUUUUAAUAGAGUAAAUAAGAAAAAUUUAAUUUAUACCUAAAAUUUUAAAAUGGAGAAAAAUCUUUCUACCCUUAUUAAUUUAAUUAAUUUUUUUAAAUUAUGUUUUUACCCUUGAAUUGGGUCUGGGCAUCACACAUCAUACUAAAAAGUUAUCAAUAACCAUCCUUUGAGGCACAUUAGCAUAAAUUUGCGACUUUAGUUGUGUUCUAGGUGCAAUUCUAUUAUGUUUAAUUGAAAAAUAACACCCAUAGCACAACCAAGCCUAAUUGACAGCAUUUGGGCAAAUAAAUGGUAAAUUUCUAAAAGUUCACCAAAAAAAAAAAAAAACAAAAAAGAUCAUAAAGGGCAUAUUUUUCAAGUCAACCUAGUUUUGGGAUAUUGCAAUCCAAUCUAAGAAUGCAAUAAUAGCUCUUUAAUUCAUAAUUUUAAAUUCACAAAAGAUAUCACCUAAAAUUACUAUAGGUUACCAAAACAUCAACAACAUAUAGAAAGCUUAGAAAUGCUUGGAACCUAUCGAAUUUUCACUUUUUAGGAAUAAAAAAAAAAUGAACUUUAAGGAUUUUAGGGUAAUACUUGCUUGAACCAUCUUUCAAUCCUUUUGUUGGCGGUGGGCCUUUUACCUAUAAGAACAGGAAUGAGAGGUGAAAAGGAGGGAGCCUUAUGAAAACGGAUCCCUAGGGCUUAAGAAGGGGUUUUCAAUUUUAGGGUUUGUCUGUUCACCAAGGAUGUGAAUGGGAAGAUGAGGUGAAGUUAAGAGAUUGGUGAAGCAAAGUGAGGGCAUGGUAGGGUUUGAAUAAGGGAAAGUCUACACUAUUAAUGAAGAUGAUAAUCUUUAGAAAGCAAAGCUAAGGUAAACUAGGGCUUUAACAACAAUUUUCGAUCUACACUAGUGAAGACGAUAUCUUCGAAAACCAAAGCUAAGGCAAGCUAGGGCUUUAAUAACGAAUUUCAAUCUACAAUGGUGAAGAUGAUAAUCUUCGAAAACCAAAUCUAUAAUGGUGAAGAUGAUUAAAAACUAAAUCUAUAUUGGUAAAGACGAUUGGAAAGCAAAUCUACACUAGUGAAGUCAACGAAACCAAAGGUAGGUAAAAAUAAUAAUAAUAAUAAUGCAUUCUUAGAUCCAAAUCACCAUUUCCAACAUGGUAUUUGGAUUUCCACCUUGUAUUUUUUGUUUUUAAUUUUUUCAAUAAUCAAGGACAUUUUAGGGAUUAUUAAGUGACAAUAUUCUUCAACUCAAUUUCCCACAUUAGUUAGGUGUAAGGCUCAAAUGUGAAACUCAUAUAGAUGUUAGGCCAAUCAUCAAACUCAUUUGCCUUGAAGCAUAAUUUCCCCUUUUUAAAAUAGUUGUUAAACAUCUAUCCCCAACACUUGUAACCCUUUGAAGUGCUUGUAUGUUAACCUUGUUUCCUUUUUCUCAUGAAACAUGGCUUAUUGAUUGUUGCAUUGAGUCAUUAUCAUUCACCAAAUCCAUGCAACUAUGAACUACCUUUCAAAUCCCUCGAACAUAAAUGGUAAUUCCAAAACAACUCAAGUAUAAUCUUUCCAAGCCCUUCAAAUGAUUUAAUUAAUUGAUGUUUGAAUAUACUUCAUAUAUUUUUUUAGAGCAAUUUUUUAGGCAUAUAACAUAAAUCUCUAAUUUCAUUUUAUUUUUUUUAUAAAAGGUUUUAUAUUUUAUAUUACAAUUUCCUCUCUUUUUUUUCAUCUAAAAAAAAAAACAUAAAACCUUCGUAAACGAGUUUUGUCACAAUCCCUUAACAGGUAAUCUAUUUUUAAAAAUUACUUUAACAUUUUUAGAUAUAUUGAUUCAGUCUAAUUUAAUUUUAAUAUUUUUUAUAAAAUAUUUUUAUUUUAUAUGAUUAUAAAUUAAUUACUAUUGAUUGCAUAUUAUAGAAUAUAUAUUCUAAAAUAUAUCCUAUUCACAAUAAUAUCAUAAGAUAUUAUAUCCAUAUCCUAACAUAUUAUAUACUUUUAUUUUGUGCAAUUAGCAACAGGGUGGAAGACGGCUUAGGCGGGAGACGGCUUAACGGAAAUGCCGUCUGCCAUGCGUGUCCCUUCCCUUAGUGAGUCUGAACAGCUCCAACAUUUCCGACACGCCCUUCUUCGCUUAGCUCUUAAGUAUUUUCGUCCCGUUUUCAUUAACCCCAUCACAUUUCGCCAUGUGGAUCUAAGCCUCAUGGUCCUUUCGUUCGUACGAUGAAUAUUCCCCCAAUUCCUUAUCUACACUAAACCUCCAUACUCGCCAUCUACUCAACCACUUCUCUACUCUAGAGUCUGGAUCCUUUAUCUCUGCACGUGUCUAUGGCUCUUCACCCCAGCAAGUAUGGCAUUACAAGGGCAAUAUCGUCAUUAAAGACCCAAAAGGCAAACGAAUGGCAUUAUCUCCCUUUUGGGUCUAUUCUAUUUAUAUUGUAAGUUUUUCGUGAUGACUUCUCUCAUAACAGCUAAAAACCACUCCAACAGAGCACACUUCACUUCUUCGUUUUUGUCUUUCCUCUUUUUUUUUUUUAGAGAAGCUGAGAAAGCCCAGCUCGCCCUCAACUCCCCGAUGGGUUUGAUGAAUGUUCUCAAAUUCUCAGCUGCAUGCUUUGAUCUUCUUGGUUGGUAUGUUGUCUACGCAUUUUCUCGUCAUUGGAAAAUUUUGGAAAAUGAAGUGGAAUUCUAUGUUUGAGGAGAAACUGGGAUUUGCUUUGAUUUCUCCAUGUUGGUUUUAUCCCUUUUGUUUGAAUUGUCCAGAUUCUUGUCAUUGAUUGUUAGUUAUUUGUUUGGAUUUCUACUUGCAGGCCUCUGUUUGCACUGGGUUAUCCUCUGUAAGUCUUGGUCUUACACCCCAAGAUAUGAUGGUUCAUUUACUCUUUUCUUGUUCUAUGAAUUCUUAGUUCAGUUACAUUUAUUGGGUUGGGAAACUGAAAAGGGAAAGGAUUAUUAGUUAUUAUCAUAAUAAUCAUCAAUAUCAUCUCGGUUCUUCACAGAUGUGCUUCAAUUCGGGCAAUUGAGACUAACUCAAUCUCAGACGUUCGGAAGUUGGUGGCGUAUUGGGUUCUAUUUUCCUUGAUUUCACUCUUUGAUCAUACUUUUGCCAAGCUCCUUGAAUGGUAAUUUUGCUCAACUUCAUUCUUUGCCCUUCAGGAAUUUGGAGUUGCUUUUUUCAGUUUUCUUCCUUGUGACAAUAAUCGAGAUGUUUAAUGUUCCAGGCCUCCAUGUAUUUUAUUUUCCUUCACUUCUCUGCUUUGAAAAAUGCCCACAAUCUGAUCAACAGAAAGGUUAUAACAUUUGAAAAAGAAAUGCUUUGUUUUGGUUUUUUAAGUGCAACAAUUUUCAUUUGGAGAAAUGAUCUAAAGGGUAUUGGUGUUUGGCCGAAUUCAUGGAAUUUUCUCGCUAAUUUGGGAUUUAUUCUCAAUUUCAAGAUCACUGUGGAUAUUUCAGAAAUUAAUGAAAUAUAUAUGAUGGAAUGUGAUUUUCUUGUUUAAGAAAAGUUUUUCUUUGAAAAUGUGGGUGACCCCAACCUACCUUAUUGUACUACUUGGAACACAAAACAAAAGUUUUUCUCGCUAAUUUAUUAACUAAAUUGCACACUUUUUGAUAGUUCAAGGAAGUGGUGUCAGCUUUGGAAAUAAGAUGGAUGAUUGUAGGGAACUUUAUUUCUCAUCUUUAUAGGGAACUUUCCAUAAUAUAGCUUAUAAAUAUCAUAAUCACAGUGAUGAAUGAUUGUCUUGUUUGAAAGCAUGGUUGCACUUAUUUCCAGGGAAUUUGUCUGCGUUGAAAUUAAAUUAAGCUUUAUGCAUCAUUUGGAUGCUGGGAAACAAAUGGAAAUAGAAAAUUCAGAAUCUGACAAGUUUGUGUAGGGCAACUGGAUCUAAUCUCUUAGUCGAAGCUUAAUAGGGGCAAAUGCUGAUCAUCUUUGAACCUAUUGAAGGCUCUAAUCUGUGCACAAUUCUAAUGUUUUUGUUUUCUUCAUUUCUUUUUCAACUUUUCAUAAUAGAUGUCAAAAGUUAAAACCGAACUUACGUAGUCCAUCCAAGUGGAUGCAUAUAAAUUUAACAGAAACUGAAAUUUGAAGAAAUUUAUUUUCCCUUUUGUAAAUGGUGUUUAAAAAGUCUGUGUGUAGUUUGGUUUUUUUCCUGGAAGAUCAGAUGAUUUCGUGAUCAUUUUUUCUAUUUGCCUUAUCAUCAUGAGAUUUAAGUAUUUUUUUUAAAAAAAUAUUUUAUUUUCUUAUAUAAUGCAUGUCAGGAUACCAUUCUGGCCUUACAUAAAGCUGAUGGUCAUCUGCUGGCUGGUGAUACCGCAUUUUGAUGGUUCCUAUUAUAUCUAUCAAUACCUAGUUCAUCCACGCUUGUCCAUGGAUCCACAAGUUGUCAUGAAUUGGCUCUUCAAUGAAUCAAAAAAGAAGUUUCAUAGCAGAGAAAACUUUCUUGUUUCAGCAGACCAAUAUAUUAAGGAGAAGGGACCUGAAGCUUUGGAGAAACUACUUGCAAGGAAGGUAUGCCAUUAUAAGUAGGAUUGUCAACAAGUCAAAUAGAGUUUUAUUUGAGAUGUUCAAGUAAAAAAUUACUAUAGCAGGUCAUCUAGAAUUAUUGGUCUAAAUUCAUGUAUAUAUCUAUAUAUAAUUGUGUUCUCUUUUUUUCACAUAUGCAUGUGCAUUUAGAUUUACGUAAUUAUAUAUGCAUAAUCAGAUUCAACUGUGAUAGCCCAGGAUUUAAUUCAGUAAUCAACUCUUCUGGGAACAUGUUGGUUAUGGUUUCUCUCUCACUGUCCUCUUAUUUAUACAUGACUUUGGCUUCAGUUGAGGAGCACAAAGCCUAAUGUUGAAGUGAAAGAGAUCAAAGGACCUGCAGCACCGGAGAAAAAAGGGGAACAGGUAUGCACUCUACUAUUUUAUUUCUAUGGAGGCAGAUCUCCAGAGAAAUGUUGCUCAUGUAAAUUAGUGAUGCAUUUAAAAGAAAAACCACUUUAUGUAUGUUUCUGUGAAAAAGAGAACAAGUUUAUGGAUUAAGUGAUAUUUUUUAUGGUGAAAUAAUCAAUAAUUUUCAAAAUAAUAAUAUAUUCGUGCAUGUUUUUGCAAUUCAUGAAUUCCUUUUACGAUUGAUUCUUCUCACCUCAGUGGAAGUGUGAAGAGCCUAAUGUUGCAGAAAAGGAGAUCCAAGUAGUCAAAGUAACAGACAUAAAAAAUGGGGGGGAUGGAGCAAAGAGGGUAAGUUUUCCUUUUUAUUUAUAAGGAAGGCUGUCUUCACGCAAGGAUUAUUGUUAUUAUUUUUAAGACAUGAAUGUUGAAUGCAUUUGGAAUUGUCGUUGAAUCAUGUGAAGUGUGAAGGUGCAAAUGGUGCUAAGAAGGAGAUCAAAGUGAUGGAAGUAACACAGAGAACAUUUGGUGAUACAGCACAGUGGGUAAGGUUUCUUGUCAUACUUAAAUGGCACCUCAUAUUUCACUAGGAUUAAUUUUGGCCUACAAACAUAUUUGGCUACAAGUUGAAGACAGCUUUCCAGAUACUGGUAAAAGUUGAGACAUAAGUAAUGAAUGAGUUUAGAAACAUGCACAACUCUUGUGUGAAACACAAUGAGAGUGGAAAAUAGCUAAGUUGAAAAAUGGCCAAAUACUAUUUUGUAGUUCACCCCACCACUUAAGUAAUUUUUGUCAUCCUUUGUGAAUGGAAAAUGCAGUCCCUUCAGUAAUUCUGCAUAUAACCAUUAGUGUCUUGUCCUAAGUUGACCUUUAAUGAUGGUCCAUUGAGAGGGAUCUGACUUUUGUCAACCCUCUUAUUCCUUUGAUCAUAGAGGUUAAACAUACGGGGCUUAACCCACUUUUCAAUCUCAUUGGAUAUAUGGCAUGUGGUAUCCUCUUCAUCUUGAAAGAGUGAAGUGGUCAUACUCUUUCCUGAGUCCAUCGUGGCCAUGCACUUCUGGCUCAUUGGGCAGAGUGAAAGGAUUCCCUUCUGCUUCAAAUCAUAGAGAGAUAUGCCAUGGUCAGCCUCUUUAAUUUGAAGGAUUGAAGUACUCAAAUCGAUUUCUUUGCAUCCAUCUUAGUCCUGCUUUCAUGUCUCAUGGUUAACCAGGAAGAUCAAGCUUCCAUCCAUGAGAUCAGCAUCUGCAGGGUUAUGACACCACCCUUCCUUGGCAUAGGAAAGCGAUCAUUAAGCCACAUGUCGGAUGACAGAAGUCGUCAUUCAGGUUAUCUUGCGAACUAGGGAAGUUGGAAUUCUAAUUAUUGCAUAUGGUUCUUGAUGUUUAGCCAAUAUACUAUAGGAUUUUAAGCAUCCUGCCCAUGUGCAUUGUGGUUUUUUAUCAGCUAUAUGGUUUACCAAACUGAGGGAUUGAUUAUAGUCAUAAGUACCCUUUUCCCAUUAAUUUCUUGCAUGUGCUUUGCUGAGAUUAUGUUUUUGACAGUGCUAAUCAGGGCAAACCAACAAACAGCUUUAUGUUAACUUUUACAAACUGCCACAUUUUCAGGUUGAACGAUCAGAGAUAAAUCUUGGUGAAACUAGAAGUAAUACAACCUGUGCCGUGGAGAUAAAAGAAAGGGCAGCAGCACUGGUGGCUGCAGAAAUUGAGGCAUGUAGAGACGAUAGAACCCCCAAGAUACCUCUUCAUGAGAAAGUCCAGAAAGAGUGGGCUUGUGCUGUGUGCCAGUUCACAACCCAAACUGAAGCGACCUUCAAUUCCCACCUUCAAGGGAAGAGACAUCAGGCCACUUCUGAGCAGUUGACAGCCAAAAACCAGGCAACCAAAACCAAUUGUUCCCCAUCUGCUUCAAAGGCCAAGAAAUCUGAUCAGUCCACCAAAGAGGAGCAACCGAAGUGUCCUUCCAACAAUCUGAAUUCCAAAAACAAUGGAAUCUCAGCUGCUUCAAUAGUGAAGAAACCUGACGAGACCAAAGAUGAUGAGCAACAAAAGUGUGCAUCCAGCAAUGGACCAAACCAGAAGAAUAACAAAAAGCAAGAGGAGAAGGUGCUAGUUCUUGAGACCAAUGAGCAAGGCCAUCAGAAUAAUUUUGAUCCACGAUCCCACA
rnacentral:lncRNA from 1 species